rnacentral:lncRNA from 1 species
AGUUCCUUGCAAUCUUUUAGGUUGAAAUGACUCAACCCUGUGAGAUUAUUAAUUGACAGGGGCAGUUCUUUAAUUUUUGACCAGGAUAAAUUAAGCUCUUCUAACUCCUCCAUACCUUCCGAAAUCUCUGGAAACAUCUCAAGACUAGAGCAGCGAGAAAGAUUAAAGGUUUUGAGAGAUCUCAUACGAAUUUUGCUGGGUAGAAUCUUAAGUUCCUUGCAAUUUGAUAGGUUCAAAUGACUCAACCCCGUGAGAUUAUUAAUUGAUGGGGGCAGUUCUUUAAUUUUUGACCUGGAUAAAUUAAGUUCUUCUAACUCUUUCAUACCUUUUGAAAUCUCUGGAAACAUCUCGAGACUGGAGCAGCCAAGAAGAUUAAAGGUUUUGAGAGAUCUCAUACGAAUUUUGCUAGGUAGAAUCUUAAGUUCCUUGCAAUGUGAUAGGUUCAAAUGACUCAACCCCGUGAGAUUAUUAAUUGAUGGGGGCAGUUCUUUAAUUUUUGAAUAGGAUAAAUUAAGUUUUUCUAACUCCUCCAUACCUUUUGAAAUCUCUGGAAACAUCUCAAGAUUGGAGCAGCCAGAAAGAUCAAAGGUUUUGAGAGAUCUCAUACGAAUUUUGCUGGGUAGAAUCUUAAGUUCCGCGCACCAAUUCAGAUCCAAUAAAACAAGGUUUGUAAGAGUCGAAAUAGACGCGUGAACCUCAACUAAGCUUAUACAACUUCGAACAAUUAGCCUCUCAAGAUUUGGCACAUUUGUGAAGUCAGGGGUUUCCUUAAGGGAUUGACAAUGACUUAAAUUGAUGAAUUUCAACUUUUCCUGCGUCUGUUAAAACAUUCAGGAAAACAUGCAUUACUUAAUAAGACAUCUCACUCAAAGCCCAAACAUUUAAAAGAAACAAAUACAUGUAAAUGAUUGUACGUACCUGGGUUCCUUCCCAAAGUCGAUCAAUGAGACUAUAUUGCAUGUCAAGUUCAACAAGAUUUUCGAAUUGAAAGUUGGAUGGCAAAGACUUGAGAGGGAAAUCAAGCCAGGAGAGAUACCUCAGGUUAAGCAACUUUAAGGACCCAAACAGGUAUUGUUUGCAGUACUCAUCUUUAAAAACGAAGUGCCUAUGACUGAUCUCGAGAAGUCUUUGUUGAGUCCUUCCAACAACAGCUUCAGCAUUUAAGUUCCUAUGAUGACUGAUCUUGAGAAGUCUUCGUUGAGUCCUUCUAACAACAGAUUCAGCAUUUAAGUGCCUAUGACUGAUCUUGAGAAGUCUUAGUUGAGUCAUUCUACCAAAAGCUUCAGCAUUUAAGCAUGGCCAGCCUGAGUACGAGAAAUCCACAAUUAUGCUUUCAACUGUUUUUGUAGCCUGUGCAAAUCAAAGUAAAGGAAAAUACAGAGAACCUUAGUUUUGAUUAUGAAAUUAAUGAUUGUUUCUUAAGGAGCCGUCUGAUAAUCAUUUCAUUUUCUGUUUAAUUGUUUUCAAUUUCAUUAUUACAACAAUGAAAACUAAAAAUUGAAAACAAAAAUGGUUAUCAAACGGGUCUAAGAAAUUGAUUUUGAUCAAAAGUUGAACCUUUCUACUAACAAUUGCAUAAGAAAAAUAUUUCUCACCGCAUUUUCAGUUAGCACCUGACGAACAUCUUCAUAACUCCACAACCUACUUCGUCUCCCAGGAUCUUUGAUAGAUUCUUGGCGGACAAUUUCCCAACCCAUUUCCUCUAAUGAAUCAUGCAUCUCCAAUUCCCCCAACCUUGAGACAGUUAUGAGAGAUCGAUCGAUUAGAACUUUUAUUCCUGUAUGAGGAUGGAAACCACAACUGUCCAGAAUUUCAGUUGCCUGGUCUUCCUUCAUCCCUUUAAAGAAACAUGCAAUAUCUAGAAAGAUGUCCUUCUGCGUGUCAUCUAGUCCAUCGAAGCUUGUUUUAAGCACAUCAUGAACUCCCCUUUGUGGGAUUUUCCUUAUUUUUUCCAACUCACCUUCCCACACGCGUAUGGUUUUUUUAUGCAAAAAAGCUCCCAAGACUUUGAGGGCUAAAGGCAGACCUUGAGCAUAUUCUACAACACGAUUCGAGAGAUCAUCAUAAUCUCUAGUGGGUUGGUCAUUUCUGAAGGCGUGCUGCCUAAAGAGUUUCAGAGCUCCAGAAUCACUCAAAGUCUUGGGAUUAUAUAUCACAUCAGCUAUGCUUAGUAACUGCGAAUCUCUACUUGUUAUAAUAAUCCUACUUCCACCACCAAAGGAAUGUUGCUCUCCAAGUAAAGCUUCAAUUUGUUCUAAUUUGUCCACAUCAUCAACAACAAUAAGAACUUUUCUCUGACCAAGGCUUUUUAACAUCACCUGGAAACCUUUACUCAAUAUGUCAGAAAUCCCCACCUUGUUGUCUGAGAUACUAGAUAGAAGUAGUGUCUGCAUAUGUAGUUCACCCUGCUUCAUGAAACCCUCCUUGACAUUUUUAAGAAAGCAACCAGCUUCAAAUCGACAAGAGAUUUCAUCAUAAACAGUUCUAGCGAUGGUUGUUUUGCCUAAACCACCCAUACCCCAUAUUCCAACAACGCGAACAUUAUUCGUUUCACCUCCGGGAGGAUAUAAUAAUAAAUGCAUUUCAUGCAUGUGAGAAUCCAUGUCAACCAAGCCAUUAUCUUUGCUUGAUGUUGAUGAGAUGUCUAUCAAUUUCCUAUAAACAUCUUCUACAAUUUCCUCAAUAAGCACCACAUCAUUCCUGUCAAAUUUAAAAAACAUAUAAUAACAACAUCAAAUAAUAAUUAAUGGGUCUUUUUCAUCUGUUAGUUAAAAAAAAAUAGAAAUUAAAACUAAAACUAAAAUCUAAACGUUACAAAAAUCCCAAAAAUUAAAAGGAAACUAAAACAAAUUAGAAUUUACUCAUAGUUUCGCGAAUCCCAGCCGGAUAAACAGGUGGCAGUUGUAAGAGUAGAUCUCCAACUCCGAACCUCUUCCAUUUCGGCGUUAGAAUCGCGAUCGUGCUCAGAAAAGCUUGUGCGAAACUUUUCUUGAGCUUACGAACAUGAGACGGAUCAACUUCAUAGAAAAUGGGGAGUACAAUCUGGUUAUUGGUAUCCUUGCAUUCCAGGAUUUGCACGAGUUCUUUCAAGCACCAAGUGGAAGAAGCAUAGUUUUGAGAGAAAACUACAAGCGAAAGCCUUGACCCUCGAAUCGCUGUCAGGAGCUCGGAAAGGUGGUCGCCUUUUCUGAGCUUUUCCGCAUCAAUGAAGGCGUUGAUUGGUUUCUUAACCAGAGCGUUGUAGAGAUGGCUGACGAAGCCCCUGCGAGUGUCUUCCCCUCUGAAAUUGAUGAACACAUCGUAUUUCCAACCAAGGUUAGAAGCAGCAGCCAUUAAUCGAUCGCACCUGGUCAGCGAUGAUCGAGCAGCUAAGACUAAGAAUAAUGUAAGAACAGAAAUACUCGAUUGAUCUAUAAAUUGAAUCACUGAAGAAACUGGUCUGAUCGAUACGAAGUCAACGAAGACAAAGAAAAUAAUGCUUUAUGUGUUUUCACAUCUUCUUCCGGGAAAUUUAACGAAAAUAAUUUUCCUUUAGGCAAAAUUGACUUCAAAAUAUAAAAAUAUUCUUUCAAUUAUGGACAUAUGACAUUUCGGUGUGAAACGAAUAUGCUUAUUUGGUUUGGUUUGGACCCAAGAAAGGACAAAGAUUGUCUGCCCUCCUACUUCCGGUGCCCUUCCAUGCCCUUCUGUUUGUGUAGUCACGGUUAAGCCACGUCAACAUUUUAUAUUACUAUUUAUUUUUGUCUUAUUAUCUCUAUAAAUAAGCAAUAUAAAAUAUUAACGUGGCAUAAUCGUGACCACAGAAAACAAGAGUUGGCACCAAAAAUAGGAGGACAAACAACCCUUGUCCCCCAAGAAAAUGCUAAGAAAGGAUGGUUUAGCAGCUGUGCAUGAGGGGACUGGGUCAAAGUACCCUGUUGAAUCCACUCUUGCCUACCCAACAACUUAUUUAGUUAUUUGUAAGCCCGAAAUAUAUCCCGAUCUUUCUAUUCACACCAAAAGUAAGUAGAGUGAUAAGAAAUAUUUCCGGUUAAGUAUAAGCAUGUCAGUCUGCAGCAGCAUAGCCACGUUAAGGGCUACCGUGGGCUGUAGUCUAUGUAAUUUUCAGUGAAAAAUAAAAUUUUACAUGUAAUUUUUAUUGAUUUUCAAAUAUACUUCUUCAUAUAUACAGUCUUUAAUCUGAAUUAUCUCAUUUUAAUUAUAUAAUUAUAUAAUACAGUUUACAAACUGUCUCUUUUUCUUACAUCAUUUUUCUCACCGCUUCUUGCACAUGUACAAGUUUGGAUUUUGUUUGAAUUUUAACACGUAUUUGUUUAAAAACGAAAAUCCUUGGCUUACAUAGUGAAAAUUUUCUUAAGUUAGCUGAUACUUUGAAAAAUACAGGAUCAAGUUUCUUUGUUUAUAAAGAUUUAAAUCUUUAAGCUAGCCCACCCGGUGAAAAAUUCCUAACUCCGUCAUGCAUUUUACAUAUAAUUUUUAUUGAUUUUCAAAUGUAGUCCAUCAUAUAUACCGUCUUUAAUCUGAAUUCUCUUGGUUUAAUUAUAUAAAAUUAUAUAAUACAGUUUACAAACCGUCUCUUUUCUUACAUCCUUUUUCUCACUGCUUCUUAUACAUGUACAAGUUUUGAUUUGUUUGAAUUUUAACACGUAUUUGUUUAAUAACGAAAAUCAUUGGCUUACAUAGUGAAAAUUUUCUUAAGUUAGCUGAUACUCUGAAAAAUACAAGAUCAAGCUUCUUUGUUUAUAAAGAUUUAAAUCUUUAAGCUAGCCCCCUGGUGAAAAAUUCCUAGCUUCGCCAUUGAGCAUGUGGUAUAUCCUAUGAUAUCAUGGACGGCAAACGAGCGAUUAAUGGUUGUUUGGCAUUUAAUUUGAUGUCACGGUAGUAACGGUACUCUAAAAUCUUUGAUAUACUUGCUUUCAGCUACAAAACUACUAGAACUCCGAAAAUUGCUUAUGAAAAUAAAAAUAUUGACUAGAUUUGAACUUGUAUAAUCUAUGUCUUCACUACACAUUGUUGUGUUCGCUCGUGUUCUAAAGUUGACGCUAGCUAGAAGGUCACAGCAAGAAGCAGAGGAGGCUAACUAUUGCAGAAAUUUGUUUAUUCAAAAGCAUUUGUAAAAACACAUAUUGAAAUUAAUUCACGCCAAAAAUAAAUAAUACAGUGGUGGCAGGCACACUACAACAAUAGGGUUUUAACCCUAUGCAUUUUUAUAUUGGCUUUUGUGUUAUCAGUUGCGACCGCUCGGUGGAGAGAGCAUUUUAUGUUAUGAAUAAAAAUACCACUGCGUAACAAAAUAGAAGAUUAAUGGUUGAGUGAUAGCUGGUUUGUUUGCAAUGAGAGAGAUGUUUUUGCUUUUAUUGAUAAUGAAUCUAUAUACGCGAUGUUUUCAUAGCAUAAAACAUCGCCGACAACAAUUGUAACUUUUUGUGUUGAUAAAUUAGGAAAGACAUUAAUAUUUUCUAAUAUCUAAAAGAAUUUGGAUGUCUACAUUUUUUUGGAAAACUUUUUACCCUUCUAAAUUUCGCGCCUCUCCCGACAAUUCCUAGCUUCGCCACUGCUAUAGUCAACUCCAAGUCUUGUCCAUGAUAUCAAUAUCCCUACUGUAAACGGUGACUUCAAUAUAAGCUAACAAAAAGUUUGUAUAGAGAAGAUAUAUGCAUGAAAAAAUGGCAGUGUUUGUGUUGCCGAACGGAUGAUACUGAAAUACCUAAACCCAAGUCAAGCUCCUUUAGUCCACAAAAACAAAAGUUUAGAAUACAAUAAUGUUUGCAUAUAGAUUGGAGAAACGACAUACCACCGGCCAGGAAGGUGCAGUGAAAGAGAGAGGAAAAGAGGAAAGAAACAAAUACGAAAUGACAAAGACUAUCAAAUAGAUUAUAACAAUGACUUCUUAGCGGUGAUCACAACUAUUCAACUAUCGAUGAUGCUUUAUUUUAGAUUGAGAUGUGGAAGCAUCUGAGAAGUAGCAUGUCAACAACCAUUACACAAUAAUAUUGUCUAAUAUCUAAAAGAACUUGGAUAUCUACAUUUUUUUAGAAUCUUUUACCCUUAUAAAUUUCGCACCUCUUCAGACAAUUUCUAGCGUUGCCGCUGCUUCAGUCAACUCCAAGUCCUAGUGGUUCUUGUCUAUGAUAUCAAUAUACCCAUUGUAAAUGGUGAUUUCAAUAUACAUAGAGUGUGUACAGGGGAGAUAUAUGUAUGAAAAAAUGGCAGUUGUUGUAUCUGUGUUGACGAACGGAUGGUACUGGAAUACCUAAACCCAAGUCAAGCUUCUUCAGUCCACAAAAACAAAAUGUUUAUUAUAUAAUAAUGUUUGCAUAUGGACUUGCGAAACAACAUACCGCCGGUUGGGAAGGUGCAAUGAAAGAGAGAGGAAAGGGGGAAAUAAACGAACAAGAAAUGACAAAGGCUAUCCAAUAUAUUAUAAAAUGACUUCUUGGCAGUGAUUAAGCUAUUCAAUUAUCAAUAAUGCAUUAUUCUUAAAGUUUAUAAUAUAAUAAUGUUUGCAUAUGCACUUGCGAAACGACAUAUCGUCGACUGGGAAGGUGCAAUGAAAGAGAGAGGAAAGGAGGAAAUAAACGAACAAGAAAUGACAAAGACUAUCCAAUAUAUUAUAAAAUGACUUCUUGGCAGUGCUUAAGGUGUUCAACUAUCAAUAAUGCAUUAUUCUUAGGUUGAAAUGUGGAAGCAUCCGAGAAAUAGCAUGGUAACAACCACACAAUAAACAAAAGUGAUUAGAGAAAAGAACCAAAUGUGAAAGGAUAAUUAAAAACAGUUAUUCAAGAUCGGCGGUAAAUCAUUCAGCUAUUUACAAGAUUUGAACUUAGAACCGCAAUCUACUAGAUUGUUGUAUCAACUAUUAAGUGGUGUUCUAAUAUAAUUCUUAGGAAUUUCAAGGAGGCAUAUGGGGGUGGAUCAUUUUUUUUCUAAAUUCGACAGUACAAAGAAGAAUUUAAUUGAUAACGGAAAAAAUAAGUUACAUAUAGAGCUGGAGCAUAUAAUAGACCCAAAUUGACCAUUUUUAGGCUCCACUGCUAAGAACUAUUGCAAAAUGCUCAUUAGGAUUACCCUGUGAACUCCGUCCUUCCACACCAAGCCUCCAAACUCAGUCCGAUAUGUUGCAGCUAGUUUAGAUACUUGUCCCCUGCAUGUUACAGAAUCACAAGAGCAAGCUUACAAAACUGCAGUUUUUACUCAUAGUUAUUGCAAAUGAAAAUACAGGUUGGUGCCAGCAAUUAUCAGUGUAAUUCUCUAUCCGACGGUAUUUCUCUCGCCUUCUCUUGAUAAUUUCGGAUGUGACAUGUUUAAGAUAACUCUUCCAAACACGUUGCUUAUGCCUAAUUUUUAAUACCACCAUAUCAUAUCAUAGUAAAUCCAAAUAACUAUCGAAUGGCAUUUAGGCAUCUAGAAUAUCAAAUGCAUUACUUUACAUUGAAAAUUCAUUUAUUCAAUAGCAUUAAUACACUAGUAAAAAAAACACUUUGCACGACGUAGGUCCUUCGUCGCGCAAAGUCAAAACAUGUCGCGCAAAACUUUGCCCAACGAACCUUCGUCACGCGCAAACCGUCGCAGCAAGGCAGUGACAUAAGGCUUUGCACGACGAAGGGUUACAUGCAUCGCGCAAAGCCACUUUGCGCGACGCAUGUAACCCUUCGUCGCGCAAAGCCAUUUUGUGUGAUGCAGGCUGCGUCGCUCAAAGUGGCGUCACGCGAAGAUGCUUUGCGCGACACAUGUCAUUGAGUUGCACAAAAUGACUUUGCGCAACGUAACCUACGUUGCGCAAAGUGUAUUUUUGGUUUUGGUCAAAAAUAUUAUUUUCUUAAUUUUUAAUAAUGUUGUAAUUAAAUUCUAAACAAUAAUUAAUUAACCAAAAAAAGUAUUUAAUUAUAAAAUAUAUGGAAAUGUACAUACAAGAUGUCCGAAUAAAAAAGAAAAAACUACAAGUAGUCUUCUAGGUGAAGUGGCUACUGGGUAUCAACAUGGUGAAGUGGCUUCUAGGUGAAGUAACAUUUCGAUGACGUGAAAAAGUUUCAAUUGGUCAUCUACAAGUGUCAAACCUAACACAUUUUACUUAAAAAAGAAAAAGGUAAUAACAUAACUCAAAACGAAAAGCAAAAGGGAAAAAAAAAAACUUUGCGCGACAUAAGUACAUAUGCAUCUCGCAAAGUUUUUUUUUCCCCCUAUUGCAGAUACAAAUAACAUCAUCCUUUUGCAAGAAUCAGUCUCUGCCCUCUCGCCCUCCCUCUCCCGCUCCCUCUCCUUCUCCUUCUCCCCUGUGUAGUUGUUGGUUGUGUUGUACGAAGUCGUCCCUCUCCCUCUCCCAUGUGUUGUUGUUCGUUGCACAAAGUAUUUUGCCCGAUGCAGGUGUACCUACGUCCCGUAAAGAUUUUUUUUUUUGCCCUUUUGCUUAUGAGUACAAAAUAAAUAAAUUAAAAUCUACUUACUAAAUCAACUAUGGAGCUUUUGACUUGUGUUAGAACACUGGAAAGAAAGACAAAAAGAGACAUUUUCAUGUUGACUUUGCACGACGCAUAGUACAUCAUGCGUCGCGCAAAGCUGUUUUGAGUGACGUAGUGUACCUGCGUCGUGCAAAGUUGGAAAAAAAACGGUAAAACAUUCUUGGUUUGGCCCCAAAAUCUUGCGCGGCGCACAAAACGUCGUGCAAGUGGUCUUUAUGCGACCAUACUUUGCGCAACGAAGGAGUGCGUCGCGCAAAACAGUUUUGAACGACAUAGAUGUACCUUCGUCGCGCAAAACAAUUUUGUGCGACCCACUCCUUCGUCGCACAAAGACCACUUGUGCGACAUCUUGUGUUUAGCGUUGCACAAAGUAUGUUUGCGCGACGAAAUUUGCUACGUCACGCAAACAUGUUUUUGUACUAGUGAUAACACACACAUUGAAUCUCCACUUGCCCACCCAAAAACUUCUUUGUAAACUAGAAAUAUAUUCCAAUCUCCCUAUUCACAUGAAGAGUGAGUUAGAGUGAUUGGAAAUAUCUUUGAUUACGUGUACGCACACCACAUAUGUGCCAUAUCCAACGGUAUUGCGGACAUAAAGCAAGCAAGUAAUGGUUGUUUGGCUUCUAAUCUGAUGUCACGGUAGUGACGGUACUACUUUGAAAUCUUUGAUGUAUAUGUUUUUAACUACAAACUACUAGAACUUCACAAAUUGCUUAAAUACAAGUUCAAGCAAUAAUAAGAAUAUUUCCAAUAGAACACCUUUCAUAGGGCCGGUCCAGAAAUUUUUGAGGCCCGGGACGACGUAAAAAAAAGUGCCCUAACUUCAUGUAAGAAAAUUAUUUAUUUUCACACGUAAGACAUCGAUAAAAUUAUACUUAGAAAAACACUUCAAACUUAAUAAUUUAAAAACACAUAAAGACUAAUUUAUUUUGUAUUGAGAGAGGGAAACAACAAAACUUCGGGCUUACAAGUAGAUAGAUGAUGAGUUUUGUUUUCCAUCUGAACUUUGAAUGUGUUUUUGAAUAAAUCAUGAGGUGUUUUUUUCUUAUUUACUAAUCUUGUCAAUAUGGGACUAUAAAAAAAUGAUGUUUUCGAGUCUUUAAUUGAUAUGUAUUAUUAAUGAAUUGGCACUAAAUUAAACAUUUUGAUGACAUGUCAUAUAAUUUGCAAAUUUGGUCUACGUAUUAUUCUUUGUUGAAGAUUAGACUUGAAUUAAAACGAAUAUUUAAAAAUAACAACCCACAUAUCUACUAGAUAGUAACUAAAAAUAAAUUAACAACCAAACAAAAAUUUGUAAAAAUUGAAAAGAAUAAACAUGCACAUAGCACUUCAAACAAAAAUCAUUGUUUCUAAGGGGGGUGUAUUCAAUUGAGAAUGUGAAAGAUUUUAAUGGAUUUAUAAAUCCAUGGAUUUUUAUGGAGUUUAAUUGAUUUGUAGAGAUUCCAUAUAAAAUUUUGAUUCAAUUCCUUCGAAAUCUCAUGGGAAGAGGUGAGAUUUGUGGAUACUUAAAAUACACUACGAAAUCUCUCCAAUUCCCUCUAAUUCUUUAACUUUCUCAAAUUCUUUAAAAUCAAUUUCUAAUUGAAUACACUUGGAAUGUUAUAAACUUCUUUAAAAUCUUAAUUGAAUACACCUGGAUUUCUAAGGAUUUUAAUAAACUAUUUUGAAAUUCUAAUUGAAUACACCUAGAAUUUCAGAGAAUCACUUAAAAUCCUAAUUGAAUACCCCUGGAAUUAUUAAUUCCCUGAAACUCUCUCAGAAUCCUAAUUGAAUACACCCCUCUAAGUAGACUUCUUGAUCCUUUUACCAAAUUUUAUAAAUUUAUUCUCUUAUGAAAAGAAAUUUGUAAAAAAUGAAAUGUAAAUAAGCACACAUGGUGUUUUGAACCCAAUACCUCCUCAUUAUUUUCAAAUGACAAACCACCACUUCUAGUUAAAUUUCUAUGUCUUUGAACCAAAUUUUAUAAAUUUAUACUCUUAUAAAAACAUACAUAAAUUGACACACCCCAUCCCGAAGGAGGGCAUGCUGGCCGUCACGUGAGAGUGACGUAACCAUUUGCACAGUACGGAAGCUUUAAGAUACAAUUUAUAAGUUGAUACACCCGAAGGUGAGUCCUAAUUUUGUCCAAUCUGUCAGAACACCGUCGAAUUCCUCGUAGUCACCACACCUUUGUGAUUCUUGAACCUGGAGGGGCGCAAAACCAAAAUUGAGUGGGUCAGUAAAACAAUUCUUUUCCAAAUCCAAACAUUUCUCAAAACGUUGUAACCCCUCUCCGUAAAACCUGUAUACUUUCCCAGAAAUGUAAAAUAUAAAUAUACAUAUAUAUUCUCAAAACUUCAUUUUUACUAUCUCAACAUUUUUCUUUAUCAAUCAUGCCAUGCCAUGUCUAAUUCAACAGUUAAAUAUGGAUGCAUCAACAAUAAUCAUAUCAGGUGCAAGAAAGUAAUCAACCGGAGGCCCUCUAAUAGCCCUGUACGGUUGAACCUAGAGCUCAAAAUCUAUCACUAUCACUCUACCGGAGUCACCUCUGUGACCCGUCCGGCCUUCUGCACACAAGUUAUGCUCUAGUGCUUUCUCAUCAAUCAUCUGUGCACAUAAUCUAAGGUCACCCACCAGUCGGAAUCUCACUAACACUCUCGCGACUGGCCUGUCGUACCCACUCCGCGUGGACUGUACGACUAGCAUCUACUUGGAUCCAAGGCGAGCGUGCGAUGCGGUGAAUACUAUAAGCACUAAACCAUUGGUGCAGGAUUUGAGCUCAAUAUAUAUCAACAUCAUCAUAACAGUAAUUAAAUACUCACCUGAUACUCACCUGUGCGUCCGCCGCACCAUUCAUUCAUAUGCAUCAUAUCUCAAUUCAUACUUUUCAUAUCAUUUCAUGCAUGGCAAUUCGAUUCACAUUUCUAUAUACUUUUCAUAUACUUUUAUGCAUGGCAUUUCAACUAAUAUAUCUCAUAUACUUUUAUACAUUUUCAUUAAAAACAUAAUUUCAUGCAUUUUCAAUUUCUGGGAAACGGCAAGUAUAUAUGUAUACGGAAAACAAAACUGCCCACUCACCUGGAGUUCGCCCUACAACUCCCUAGCACAAUACGCCAAGGCGUCAUGACGAUCGGCGCCUAAAAACAAUAAUUAAUUCCAACCUCAGAAUUCAUAGUGAUAGAAUAUAUAACUUAUAUAAAAUACGUCACUACGUAGUUCGAUCCGGAAGAUCUGCCACUCAGAUUUUAAAUCCAUAACUUCCAGAGGUCCACAAUAUACCUCUAGGACAACUUCCUAAAAUUUCAUUACCAUCCAACGGUCGGAUCUCCGUCAAUUUCCAAAACUAAGUGACGGUUAACAUUUUAUUUUAUGAACUUACAAUUCCAAUUCCGGAAGAUCCGUAACUCGGAUUCCCAAUCCGUAAGUUCCAAUAAUCCUCAAAUAUUACGUAUUACAACGUAUCAAAGUUUGGUAACGAUCCAACGGUCGGAUCGUCAAUUCACAUUUUCACCAAAACUAUAAAACGUUAUUCGAACACCUAACCAACAAUCCUUAAUAACUUUCUCAUACGGUGCUCAAAUUGGGUAUAUGAAUAUACCACGGUGAUCUACUCGACGUCACGGACGUCGACAUAUUUUUAAAAUAAUUUUAUUUAUUUAUUUUUUUUAACUGUAGCACCUUCUUCUUCCUUGGGUCGCCGGACUGGUUUUUCCGGCGGCCGUUUUCCGGGCAGUUUUUCAAAUUGUCAUAACUUUGUCAUUUCUCAACGAAAUCAAGUGAUUCAAAAACGAAAGUUGUAGCCCUUGAAGAGACAAAGAGAAUGGUACCUUGCACAACACCUAGUUCGCCGUGGUUUGGCCGGAAACUGCCUCGAAAGCCUCGGAGGUCGCCGGAAACUGGGUAUUUUUCAAAUGAGUAUAACUUCUUCAAUACUCAACGAAAUUGAGUGAAACAAAAAGGAAAGUUGUAGUACUUGACGAGACGAAGAGAUUGAUACCUACCUCGACUCCUAACUCGCCGGGGAUUCGCCGGAAAAUGCCUCGAAGCUCCGGCCAAACUUUGAACUUGUCGAUCUCCGUGUUCUUACGUCCAAAAACUUCCAACGAAGCACUCCGAGCUUCCUUGGAACCUCACUAAGCUCACUGUGAGCUUGGAUUGUCCUAAAACAAAGUCAAUUCGAAGAUCAUGAACAGUGCACUUUCACGGGGAGUUUAGAAUCUAGGUUUUUCCGAAGUAAAACUUACCUGAAAUUGGUGUCUACGUGAUCGUGGAGUCUCCAGGAGUUCGAUGGUGGUCUUAACUCCGUCGUUGGUAUAGAUUUAGGGUGGUUUUGGAGCUCGUCUGUGUGAGUUUGAAGGAGAGGGAGAGAGACAGAGAAUGAGAGAUUGUGAGGGAGGAGAGAGAGACAGGGUACGGGAAAUAGGGAGGGAUUUGAGGUGUGUGGUCCUACCUAACCCCAAAUCAUAAAAUUCCAUCUCCAAAUAACUUAGAAACAUAUAUUUCACCAAUAUAUGAUUCACAUAUCUUAAUCACGUUUAAGGGAAAUUCCGUCAAUUUACAAUCACGAGUGUAAAACUUUGGGACGGGCUGUGACAUAAAUAUAUCACCCUAAUAAUUUUGGUGCCCCUAAUUUUUCUGGGCCCUGGACGGUCGCCCUGCCUACACUGGGCCUAGGCCGACCCCCUUUCACAAUCCCUGGAGAGCUAGUUCAUUAAUAGACCGAGGAAUAAGUAAAUUGACUCAUUCAUAUAUUUAGAUCAUGAAUGUUUGGAAUCCAUAUUAUGUAAGGAGACAUUGCUUUUGCUAUUAUGAAAUUUAAAAAAAAAAAUGACUAGAUUAGAACUUGCAUAAUCUACGUUUUAUUCAUGGCAUGCGAUUAUUAAUGAUUAAAGCUAAGCUUAAUACUAUGGGAGGUAAAGUAGUGGAAAGCAAAUCCUUGGCACUCAUGGCACUUAUGGAGAAGAUGAAGAAAAGAAACCUAGGUCGUAUUUAUAUACAAACAUGUGACUAAAUUACAGAAAUGAUAACGAGAGAGCAUGUGAUUGUUGACAACCAGUGACAUGAGAAACACACUCUGGGAUCAUAUCCAUCAGAAGCCCAAUUCCAUCCUGUGUAAGAAAGAGAGCAUGAGAACACGAACAUGAAAAAUGAAAGAAUUGUAUUCAGCAUUUUGUCAAGCUAUCAAUUGGUACACAAGCAUUAUGAUGUAAUAAUCAUGUUAAAAUAAAAUAUAAAUAGUAAAACUACACGUCCAAGCUUUAAUCCAAAGAAUUCUCACUUAGUAGUCCAAAGCUAAUUGAUUACCAUUCGGUUGAUCCAGAAACACUCAACCUAUCCAACUAUUUUGCGACGUUACCAAAAACUACUACUACUUUCCAGGUGAAACAUGAAGGGUGAAAAAGCAAACAUGAAUCACUAGAUUUACUACAAAUGAUAUACCGAACAAUCUAACAGUAAAUAUCAACAAGACCAAUCCAACGUUAUCACAAAGCAUAUAUCAAUAAGAAAAAUAUAAAAAUAUUGUUACCUUACUGAAAGCUCCAAUAUUCGGUAAGGUAACAUUGGAGGUCACUAUCAUCUUUCCCGCGAUCAGUGAAUAAAAGCCAAAGAUCUGACUCUUGGAUUCGAGUCAUGGGUUUGGGUCGCAAUUCUCUCGUCGCAUGUUUGAAUACCAAGUUCAUCUUAACAGACUUGGUUUUUUUUAUCAAACAUCUUAACAUAUUUAGGGGUGUGUUCAAUUGGGGAUUUAAGAGAUUUUAAUAGAUUUAUAAAUUUAUAGAUUUAUAUGGAGUUUAAUUGAUUUGUAGAGAUUUCAUGUAAAAUUUUGAUUCAAUUCCCUCGAAAUCUCAUAAGGAGAUGUGAGACUUGAGGAUGUUUAAAAUACACUACGAAAUCUCUCCAAUUGAAUUCCUCAACUUUUUCAAAUUCUUUAAAAUUAAUUUCUAAUUAAAUUCAAUUGAAUGUUGUAAAAUUCUUUAAAAUCGUAAUUGAAUGCAUCCAGAUUUCUAAAUAUUUUAAUAAACUAUCUUAAAAUUCUUAUUUAAUACAUUGAAUUUUAGACAAUUACUUAAAAUUCUUAUUGAAUACCUUUAGAUUCAUUAAAAAAUUUAAAAUUUUUCAAAAUCCCAUUUGAAUACAUCACCCUUAAUAAAUUGUACAUUACAUUAUAUCCCAUUUGAGCACAUUAGCUUAUGCCUCCGGAUUCUGCAUAUCGGGUCGGGUUCCGAAGUUCGAGCUCACAUUUGAUAAUCAAAUUCAUCACAUUUGAUCCAACGGUGGUAAUUGGCAAACCCACCUCGGAGUCAAAAGAUGCGGCCCACGCUCCCUCUCUUUUCCAAAACCCUAGCAAAACCUCGGCCCUAUAAAUACCUUCCACAUCCGCCGCAGGAGGCACCCAAAUGCCCCUUUCUCUUCCCUUUCACACACUAAUCCCUCGCAGAGGCGAUGGGAUUCCCAGUUGCUUCUCCGUCGGAGAAACCUUUCCAACUGCUCCAUCUCUUUGCACCAUCGCCUCUGUUUCUUUUUUAUUUAUUUACUUAAUUAUUUGAGCAAUUUCCUUUAUCCUUGCCAUUCAUAUUUCAGAUUUUCAGCUUGUUUUUUUUUAUCCGAAAAAUAAAAUCGAAGUUGUAUGAGUUUUUUGCAAUUUUGUUGGGUGAGGCCGGUGAUGAUCGAAACAUAUUUUGCCUACAUUGCUUGAUUAUCUUAUUUUAUUGAGAUAAUGAUAAAAUCCGAUGUAUCUGAGGCCUUCCCGGAAGAACGAGCUUUAUUUUAUUUUUUAUUUUUUGGGUAAAAUGUAUUAUUUCAAAUCUUAAUAUUUCAAAAAACUGAAUUUUUAAAUUUCGACUAAAAUGAUGAGUUUUGUUGAUAUUUGCGAUAUAUCACUUAAAUAGUGAAGAAAUUCUUAAUUUCGUCUUAUUAAAUAUGUCAGAUUUUGUUUGAUAUUUUCUCGAUGUCAGAAGUCGAACUUAGAACUCUUAACCAUAAGAAUUGAAUUGAGCUACACUGGAUGCGUUGGAGAAAAUAUUAAUAACUGAAGGAGGAUUUAUGUUAUAACAAAAAUAAAAUAAAAAUGGUAUUCCGGUGCCAGGAUUCGAACCUGGAUGAAAACUCUUAACCAAUAAGACUUUUUGUGGUGAGCUUCACCGGACGACUUGAUAAAUCAUGGCGAAAUAAACUAUUUAAAUGUACUCCUUACGUUGUGCCGUAGAUAAACAAUUAGUGCACAUAAUGUAGUUAUCUGAUUUGUGGGGAAUGGUGAUGCUCACCGCUUAAUGUCGUCGUUGGAUCAGUUUAAGUUUUGAGAUCUGUGAAAUGAAUAAAUACAAAUUUAAAAAUUUAAAUUUAUUUAAUAAUAAUAAGUAUGGUAAUGAGAAAAAAAUGCAUCUUAUGGUUCAGAAACACACUCUCAAAUUUAAAUAACAAUUUUCAUGCUUUCCAACAACACAAAAAUUUUAUAACUAAGAAUCAAUCAAAACAUAAUGAUUGAAUGAGCGAGGAUUUCUUUUAUUUUUUCCAAAUUUUCUGAAGGUUUUUUCUAUAAAAUUUAUGGUGUCAUGAUUGCCUUAAAAGAAUCGUAAAUGUGUUCCUUGAAAAAUAAUAUGAAACCGUAUUUUGAGUUCUUAUGUUUAUUGUUUUAAUUCGAUCUAUCGUUUGAAGCCGCCUCCACCAAAAUAAAUUCAUAUCUAUAUUUUUUCUAUAACGAGUGAUUAAUAAAUCCAACCGUUUUUCAGCACCACAAAAUAAGUUACAACCCGAACACUAACGAGCGAUUAAUGGGUCCAACCGUUUUGCCACAUAUAUAUUUUCUUUUUAUCAAAACAUGCAAAUAUCUUCUUUACCAACUUGAAUCUCCCAUCGUUUGUUUUCUCUUCAUCCACAGAUUUGAUCUGUCUUUUUUGGUGAUCAAACCAAAAUUUUCUUGGACAUGAUUGUACAUACAACCAUUAAUAAACUAUCUCCAACAAAAGCCUAAACAUAGCCUCGUCCAAAAUUAUAGUCUUGCAAAAAAAUAUUUUUUUAAUAAACGAUGUCAAACUAUACUCAUGUACUAUCUUUAACCUGUAUGAAACCUUAAAAUGUAGUGAGCUUCAUCAGUUCAUGUUUAGUGCAAUUAUAUAGAACAAAAUGGUUGUAUUUCAUUUAGGAUUAGGACUUAUAUGUGUGACUUGUAAGGGAUUUAGAGCCACAAAGGAGGGAAACUUGAAGUUACAAUUAUUUGAAUUUGGCGACAGUUAAUCGAAGGAAAUUGCUUGUAACUGCAUCCUUGAUGGGAGGAUGAGUUGCGGAACGUACAUAUAUAUAUAUAUAUAUAUAUAUAUAUAUAUAUCACUUUGAUCUCUCUUCUUAGGUGUGUGUGAUCCCUCACGUAGAAAUAGUCCCAUUGAGUGUUCUUGGAUCAAUUUUGUGACCAAAGGAAGAGAAGAUAUCACAUCCUGGCCCGGGACGGACCACUUCCCGGGCCCACUCCACCACCGUAGCACGAUAUUGUCCGCUUUAGGCCCCGAUUAAGCCUUCACGGUUUUGUUUCUGGAAACUCACGAGCAACUUCUUAGUGGAUCACCCAUCAUGGGAGUGCUCUGCCCACCUUCUCACUUAACUUCGGAGUUCAGACAAAACCCGAAGCCAAUGAUCUCCCAAAAUGGCUCGUGCUAGCUAGGGAUGAGAAUAUACAUUUAAGGAUCACUCCCUUGGACGAUAUGGGAUGUUACAGAAGACAAAUGAUCAAACUUGUUGUCAAUGUCUUCUUCUACAAGUAAGUAAAUUCUCAUUACUUGUUAUAAUCGCUGCAUGCAUAAUGACACAAUAAAUGCAACAAUUAUCAUUCAAUGUUAAGAUUUCUGAACUAGGAUCAUGGUUUAAUUGUUAAUGAUAUAUAUAUCCAAGCAUAACCGAAAUAGCUAAACAUAGCCCCAUAAUAAUUUAUUAUUUUAAACCUUAUACUUUAAAUUAAUUAAUUAAUUUAAUUUAAUUAUCAUUGUAUGUUUUCAAAUUUAGCCGUUUAAUUUGAAUUAAUUGUUGCAACUGAGGAGCUGGAUCCCCAAAAAGGGCUAAGAGGGGUUCUAUAUUUGACCAACUUGAUACCCCUUAGGCUAAUAAUCAUCUGGUGGGCUCCAUAAAAUUAUAGUCUAGUCAUCGGUUGGAAAUAAAUUUUUAGAUAAAUCAAGGUCAUUUUUAGUUUUUAAACCUUUAGUCAUCUCAAUUGAAAAUGACCUUAUGUCUUUAUACGAUGUGCCUCCUAUUUCCAGCUUCAACUCCAACUGAAGGAUGUAAACGUAAUUAUCAUCUAUAGAGAUUCAUCAGAAUUUGAGGGGUUAGAUGACCCCUACUUGCCUCUUAAUGGAUUGGCCUAGGGGUGGGCAAACGGGUAUAGGAACCGCGGGUCGGGGCGGGUACGGACCGGUUCUUAUUUUGUAAAAAUAAAAAUGAGGCGAGGUAGGGCGGGCUUUUGAAAUUUUCGGUUCGGGCUGGUUCCUGAAGUAUGGUAGCGUUUGGUACGUGGGACGGGACGGGACGGAACGGGACGAGCCGUUCCGUCCCACGUUUAGUGCGCCUAAAAACUGUGGAACAGGUUGUUCCAUGGGACAAAAUUUGGCUGAUUUUUCGUUCCACCUCUUCCCCCUGGAACGACCCGUUCCACAUCUGUGGAACACAAAUUUAUAACAUUUUAUGACAAAAUUUCUCCUUAUCUUUUUCAAUAUUUACAUCAUCUGUUCCGUCCUGUUCCAUCUCGUCCCGUCCAGUCCUGUUCCGUCCCGUUCUGUCCCAUCUGCGUACCAAACGGUACCUAUAGGAACCGCGGUUACCCGGACCUGCCCGUUUGUAGUUAGAAUGGACGUAUAAGAUUGAAGAGAUCAUCUCUCCAUCCAAUCUGAAUCGUUGGUUUUAGGUUUGCUCAUCCUCAAACUUAUCGAAUUCAACUGUCACUCUUACUCUGUUGAUCGAGUCUCUCUCGCCGUCUCCAGUGCGUCGUCUCCUUCCCUCCACCACCCCGACAACACGACGGCCCAGACGACCACCAUCUUCUCGAUUUGUCACCUCUCUCUCACCUCUCUCUCGCCAUCUCGAUUUGACAUCCCAAGGACCCAGACUUACAUAACCCAGCCACCCCACCACCCAUCUUCUCGAUUUGUCACCUCUCAUUUGCCGUCUCGAGUGUGUCUUCCCCUCCUUCACCGAGGAGGACGAGAUUCAAAUCCUGCUGGUUUACUCCAAGGAGAUUAACAAGCGCAUGCUCGACACCGUCAAGUCCAGGAACGCCAUUGCUUCCGCUGCUCAAAACGGCGCCAUGGAGUCCGAGACUGUGAGCUCUGCGGUGGAAUGUACCGCUGUUGCCGCCAAUGAAGAUGCUAAGGCUGAAGAGCACAGAUCUCUCCAUGUGUGUUAGGUCACUCUUAGCUUCAUAUUAGCCUAUUAGAGCUUUCAUAUCGAGAUCUGUUCAUAUUUAUCAUGGAUUUCUUGUGAUGCCUAUAUACCUAAUGACCUGUUAAAUAUUUAAACUUUGUUAAUUUCGCUAUGCGCUUCAAUUUUCUGUGGAUUAUAUUAUCUGGGUUUCUGUUGUGAGUAUUGAUCUACUGAGUCUUGAUCUGCUUUGUUCAGAGAUGUUUAUGUUGAAGAUUUUAUAAGGAAGUGGGUGCAUUUGGAAUUGGAAAAUUAUCGAAAUCUUUCCUCUUGCAUUAUUUAGGUUUCCUAUUGCAUAAUCUGCUGCAUUAGUGAAUCUGUGCAAAUUCCAAUUUUUUUUUUUCUAAACAAAAAGAAAACCAAGAACCCGUGGACCCGGCCUGAACCGGCCCAUUUCAACCAGGCCGAGUAAGGUCCAAUUCCUAUAUAAGAAAAUGUAAUCCCCAACUCGGUCCGGCCCAUCUCCUUUGCACCUGGAUCCACCAGUGGCCAUAUGCUAUUGCCCUUUUAUUUUCUUUUUUCUCCUGCCAUGGGCGCAGUCAUGGGUAAGUAGGUAAGUUUGAUUACGCAAUUAAUUGGGCACUCUAGGAGACGCGUAGUGUUAGUGCAGGCUCAAAAGUCAAAAGGUUAAUGAGGAGUGUGGAUGGAAAGCCUGCCCUAAAUACGUUUGUAUUCCUUUGCUGAGUUACUGUACUCUGCCCUUUUCUCCUCUCUUCCUGGAAAAUUCACUCUAUUGAUCUCUGGCCGUGUUUUGCGUGGCAUGAAACAAAACGGUCAAGUAGUGUAUAACAAUUUCAAAAAAAAAGGUCAAAUAGUGUAUAACAAUUUAUCAUAUAGAAAGUUGAUGGUGCUGCAGAUGAUUAAUGAGAGUUUUAACGAAAAACUCACAGCACUGUUUACUUUAACGAAAAGCCACAUUUUUACAUUAAAAAGUCAAACCUAGUACUAUUCAUUUUAUCCUUUAUUUUGUCUUUAACAUUAAAACUCAAAGUUUUCAAACAUUUUUCAUUAGUUUUCCUAUGAUUAAUUGGUGUCCGUAGAAAUUACAUGAUAUCACUCAGACUUUAUCCAACAUAUUAGGCCAUCUCCAACAAAAGUCUAAACAUAGCCCCAUCUAAAAUUAUAUUCUUGUAAAAAAUUAUCUUUUAAUGAAUGAUGUUAGACCAUACUCAUAUAUCAUCUUUAACCGAAAUGGUUAAACACGGCCACUUAAUAAUUUAUUAUUUUAAACCUUAUACUUUAAAUUUAUUGGUUAAUUUAAUUAAACUACCAUUGCAUGUUUUCAAAUUUAGUUGUUUAAUUUGAAUCAAUUAUUGCAACUGAGGAGCUAGAUCCCCAAAAAGGGCUAAGAGAGGGUCUAUAUUUGGUAAGCCUGAUACACUUUUGGCCAAUAAUCGUCUAGUGGGCUCCACAGAAUUAUAAUCUAGUCAUCGGUUGGAGAUGAAUUUUUGAAUAAAUCAGGUAAUUUUUAGUUUUUAAUCCUUUAGUCCUCUUAGUUGAAGAUGACCUUAUGUCUUGCUUUAUAUGAUGUGCCUCCUAUUCCCAGCUUCAACUCCAACUGAAAGAUGUAAACGUAAUUGUCAGCAAAGAGUUAGAAACAUACCCGAAUCCACGUUUUAUAAGCAGAAACUACACUUAUUUGACAUGUUUCCUCAUUUUUUUUACUUGCAAAUUCAAAACCGUCUUGUCGGACCAGUAUAACAAAAUAAUGUUUACGAACAACUGUUAAAACUAAUCACAACAAGUUAAUGCAUAAAGAACUUACGGAUACGGAGGGUGCUAUGAGGCCACCGAAAAGGGUAAACCCCGCAAUAAAUGAAUUCACCUUGUGAUUAAUACUUUGCACAACUUUUUAUGAACCGACAAAAGGCUACAACAAAUUAUGGCUAAAACAGGUCGGGGAUAUGAAAAUAAAUGUCUUCACAGGGUCAGCAGCUUACCAGGGGAGGCAAAAAUGGAAUGAAUGAUGGAAAACUUGAUCUUCAUUUACCGCUCCAAGCUCUGCGCGUUUAAUCCGCUGUUGUAUCCUCAGCCUGCGAACCUACGCAUAUCGAAGCUCAUUCUUAAAGAACACAUUUCUAAUGGCAAUUGGAGAGUAAUUUAAAACAUGCUAAACUGAGAAAGUGGUAGCAACAAGCAAUUGCUCUCACCUCCUCCAUAUGCAAGAAAAUUUUGUUGCGACGACUCCGAAUAUUAUCUUGAAUUUCCUGCAGCUCCAUUGUCGCAAGGUCCUGCACUGUUUCAGGCCCCUCUAUGAUACAAAAUCUGCACAAUUAAGCAUGUAAAAACAAAAAUUUACAGGCUACAAAGCAAUUUCCAUAAUUUUUGGGUUAAUUAACAUCAACAGCAGAUAAAUCACAUGGGUUUUUCACAUAAAGUUACAAACUUUCAAAGACCAGUAAGCUGUCUGCAAUCUCAUAAAUUUCACAGUGCAAAGUAACAAUCCAAAGCUUGGAAAAUUUUCAUUUUCUGUUAAUUUCCUAGAGAGAGAGAGGGGGGAGUACCCGGCGGGGUUUGUAUCGGCGGCGGGAUUGGGAUCAGAAUCGACAGACGGAGCGAAAGAGGAGGAGUCGGGCUCCGAAGCCAUGGCCAGGGAUCACCAUCUGGAGCUGCUUGUUGAUAUGGGGCUUCUUGGGUAGCUGAAUUUGGAGCAGCCGGAGCUACGCAGUUUGUACGGACAGCACCGAUUUACGGGGAAAGAAACGGCAAAAAGUCUGCCGGAGCAGAGCAUCUCUCUCUCUCAAACCAGAAGGCAGAGCUUUCUGUUUCUCUACAGGUUUCUUUCACUGGUAAAUUCCGGAGAAGCAGAGAAGAAGGGUCAAAGGGCCAUGUAUAGUUUUAUAGUCAUACAAAAAAUUAUAUUUUAAUAAAAAAUGUAAGGCCAUAUUUUAUUAGGAAAAUUAAUGAAAAGGCUUGAAAACUUUGAGUUUUAAUGAUAAGGACAAAAUAAAGGGUAAAGUGAAUAGUACCAUGAUUGACUUUUUAGUGUAAAAAUGUGGUUUUUGGUUAAAGUAAACAGUACCAGGUGCUUUUCGUUAAAGUUCCCUAUUUUAUUCCAUAUCCAACUUAGUGGGCCAAUGGACCGUAGGCCAAACAUAGUCAUUUGACAAAAAUCUUAUCUCUAACCGAGAGAGCUAAAGGACCGUAGGCCGAAUAUAACUCCUUAAUAAUUUACUUUUAACGAGUGACUCAAUUAACUAUUUUCAUUUCUUACACGUUCAAAAUUAGACAAAUUCUUUGCAUACAUAAAAAAAAUAUAUAUAUAUUAAGGAGAGAGUAUUAAACUAUUACAUUACGGGUUUCGAACUCGCGAGAACCCUAAUGCCUCUCCACUAGGAUAUUAGACCAGUAAAUUAAAAAGAAAUAUUUAUAGAGGGCUGGAACCAGUCGAAGCUGGGGGGCUAGGCCCUCACGCCCAUAUUAUAUUACUUGAAAAAAAAACAUACAACAAGGAGGACAUAGUACUGAAACCCUGACAAUCAAAAGCAAAAUCAUAUACGACCACUCCAAGCAGUCAACAUAACCAUCACAUAUUGAAUCCAAAAGGUUGACGACCCAUUCGCUGCAUAUAAUGUACAGAAGAUAACAAAUUUUGAAGUGAUGCUCCAAGUAUGAUAUUGGGCAGAAAAGAGCGGCGGCUUCAACCACUUCUUCAGCUAUAUCCGGCUGGGUGAGAGCAGCUAAAGACAUGAUUGUUCCCUAAGAACAUGAAUACAUUGAGUAAACACCAAAAGUAACUGCUAGGGAAGGAGAUUUGAAGUAGAUUAAGAGGUUUAAUACCUGUGAAUGUCCAACAACAAAGACGUUGGAGCUUGUUGAAUACAUGCAGCGCAUCAUUUCUGAUAGAUCAAAUCGAGCCAAUUCCUGCCAACUCCAAUCCCAAAAAUCCUACAGUAAAGCAUAAAUCUUGUUCUUUUCUGAUAAAGAUGUGUCCCUGACUCCAACGUGUUUGACGCACAUUUUCUACCCAUACAUCGAAACCUUCAUCUGCUGGAGAAUUUAAGAAUCAUGCAUCACCUGGUUAAGAUCAAGAAAAGCCAGUAACCAAUUUCAAUUGAGUUUGAAGCACAUUAGAGCCCAAUUUAAAAUGUAUCCGAUGGAUGUUCAUCACUUCACACAAUAGUUAGUUUCAAGAAAGGAAAUUUCAACGCAACCUGAAAACUUCAGAUCAGGGGGCACCAAAUAGUGAGCUAUACAUUCAAAUUUUGAAAUAAUCAACGCACAAUAUGUUGAAAAAAGUUGGAAGGAGCUAUGAAAGUAAGGCUUUUCACUAAUCAGGCGUCCAGAGAAUCAAUAUUUUUACUCACGGAUCAGUUAGGGCGAACACUCCCCACCAAAGCAAUCUCAUUAGUACUUCACAUCUCAAACCAAACAGAAAUUGCAGUAACAAACAUGACAUCUAUUAGUCCUUCACAUCUCAAAUCCAGUAAGUACCCAUCUUUCGUCAGAAUCUGGAAAACAAGCAGCAGUGGAUUUAACAAUCUGGGUAUCUCAAAGUUACUCACUUUAAUCACAACAUAUAAAUGGGCAUUUUCUAGUGAAAUGUUAGUGUAGUACUCACUGUGUUGCUCCGAGCAAGAGUACCCAGAAAGCUCGAUGAGCUGAGCACAGAGGGACUGCAGUGGUGAAACGGCGACCGAUUCUGUAAAAUUCAGUCCGGUUUUGGGUGAUUUCUGAGGCUGAUAAGGAAAGCUGGGACGGAAGGGCACAAGUCUGGAAGAAAGGCUCUGGUCACCAUUGUCGCGAUUCGUGGAGGAAGAAGUGCCCCAAAACAAUUUCAGUCCUGAACAGGUGCACCGUUUGCACUGGGCCAGGGCCGACCCUGAAUCGCUAUAGCGUCCUUCUCCAAACAGUAUAUAUACAGAUGCUAGAAAUAUCUACCAGAACCAUUCAAAUCUAGCAUCUACAGCUUUAGCAUUUAGUUGGUACAAGGUACACUCUUCCGAAGGGAGAUGAAAUCAUUGAGGCUCUUAUAUAUUCCUCCUCUUGAUGUGCCCCUGUAGACUGCUAAUUCCAGACGAUCCAAUCUCAUACAUGUUCCCUGCAAAAGCAUGCGUGCCAGACUUCAAGAUCAAACUCGUUAGCGGAAUAAAUGGUGCACAAAGGGAUUUAAAAUCUUGACAUAUGUGUAUUUUUGGCAGAUUUUAUGCGAGCAUGCAACUAAAACUGGCAUCACUAUCAAUGGUGCACAAAGAUCGGCAGAAAAAACGUAAAGAGAAGCAAUCACAACGCAAAAUGUACGAAGUAAUCUGUCCACGUAUUGGGAAAACAUUAACACUGGAUGAGGGGAAUAAACAUGGAAUUUUGAUAAAAGUCAGAAUUUAUAAAUUGACAUGCAGUAAUUUUCUUGUUUGGAUUUAUAAACAUAUAAAUUUAGAAUUUCCGCGUGGGAAAAACAAAACUUGGAACUUAUGACCUCCAAUUCUCAAGUUUAAAUUUCAUGUAAAUAUGUGUCAUUUCUAAAUUUCCAUGAGAGAGUUUAAAGAUAACAAAUACUGUUAUUUCAAUUUCUAUCAUUUUAAAAUUUCUUAGUAAUCUUAAAUUUCCUCUUCCAAACAGAGUGUAACAGUUUGUAACUUCUCCAUUGUAUUUGUUCAACUAUGCAAUUUUCUGUAAAACUUAAAAGGCUGCUUAGCAUCUCUUGUUCGUUGUAUUGAAUACCAUGGUUUUACCGAUGAAUGCAAAGUUUGCUGAUGAUUCAUACGACAAGCAAUUGAAAAUCCCAUUAUUAUGCCCCACAUCAUUUACACAAAUUCAGAGGGCUCAUCCACUGUAAUUUGCAGGUACAGAAAUGUUAUGAUUAAAGGAAAUGCAAACUACCUUUCACCCAGAUUGGAGGAGCACCGGUGGCAUUAGCAAGUGAGCAACAGGAAUUGACAUACCAAUAUCUUCACAGUUUCCGCACAAGCACAAAUCAAAAGAAUCCGGCGGCGGAGUUAUGUACCUCUUCUUGGAAAAAGACACCUCUUGGGAUUUCAUAAAAUCCGGCUGUGCCUAGACGUCUGACCACGCCAAUUCCACCAAAGCUGCUGCAACGCGGCGUAGUGUCCGAUUGAUUGCUUCAAAACAGAGCUUCGUAUCCAUGUGUUUAUAAGCACAGAGUACCCAAAACCCCAGAAAAUUAUUUCUUUAUUCAGAUAAUAAAAUUUCGCAAAUUUCGAAUUUUAAUUCCGAACCAAAAAUAGGGUUUGAAUUUUGAUUACCUAGAAAUUGGGGGUUGGGGUGGAGAGGGACUGAGGCCAAGACGCAGCUAUGUGUCCGUGAUCAGGUGUGCCAAUUUACAGAGGGUGUCGGGAAGAUGCACAAGGCUUUUGCAGUUUCUCAGAUUUAAAUACUGAAGCCCCGUAAGGCGUUCAAUCCAGGGGGAAAGCUCUUUGAUAGAUGUUCCAUCCAAGAAAAGCGCUCUUAAUCCUUCCAUAUUUUCUUCAAUGCUUGGAAACACCUCAAACUUUGUACAACCGGAAAGAGAGAGAUAGACCAGGGACUUGAGCUGACAAAUGCUGCUUGGAAGACCCUUAAGUUCCUUGCAAUCAUCUAGCUUUAAAUAACUCAAUCCCGUGAGAUUAUUAAUUGACGAGGGCAGUUCUUUAAUUUUUGACCCGGAAAAAUAAAGAACUUUUAACCCCUCAAUCACUUCUGAAAUCUCUGGAAACAUCUCUAGACUCGAGCAACCAGAAAGAUUAAGAGUUUUGAGAGAUUUCAUACGAAUGCUGCUUGGAAGACACUUAAGUUCCUUGCAAUCAUCUAGGAGCAAAUGACUCAACCCCGUGAGGUUAUUAAUUGACAGGGGUAGUUCUUUAAUUUUUGACCCGGAUAACUCAAGCUCUUCUAACCCCUCAAUCACUUCUGAAAUCUCUGGAAACAUCUCUAGACUCGAGCAUCCAGAAAGAUUAACGGCUUUGAGAGAUUUCACAAGAAUGCUGCUUGAAAGACACUUAAGUUCCUCGCAAUGAUCCAAGCUUAAAUAACUCAACCCAGUGAGAUUAUUAAUUGACGAGGGCAAUUCUUUAAUUUUUGACCCGGAUAAAUCAAGAAAUUCUAACCCCUCGAUCACUUCUGAAAUCUCUGGAAACAUCUCUAGACUCGAGCAACCAGAAAGAUUAAGCACUUUGAGAGAUUUCAUACGAAUGCUGCUUGGAAGACACUUAAGUUCCUUGCAAUCAUCUAGGUGCAAAUGACUCAACCCCGUGAGGUUAUUAAUUGACGGGGGUAGUUCUUUAAUUUUUGACCCGGAUAACUCAAGCUCUUCUAACCCCUCAAUCACUUCUGAAAUCUCUGGAAACAUCUCUAGACUCGAGCAGCCAGAAAGAUUAAGGGUUGUGAGAGAUUUCAUACGAAUGCUGCUUGGAAGACACUUAAGUUCCUCGCAAUUAUCUAGGCUUAAAUAACUCAAACCACUGAGAUUAUUAAUUGAUGGGGGCAAUUCUUUAAUUUUUGACCCGGAUAAAUCAAGAACUUCUAACCCCUCAAUCACUUCUGAAAUCUCUGGAAACUUCUCAAGACUCAGGCAGCCAGAAAGAAAGGAAUUUAAGAGAUUUCAUACGAAUGCUACUUGGAAGACACUUAAGUUCCUUGCAAUCAUCUAGGAUCAAACGACUCAACCCCGUGAGGUUAUUAAUUGACGAUGGCAGUUCUUUAAUUUUUGACCUAGAUAAAUCAAGCUGUUCUAACCCCUCAAUCACUUGUAAAAUCUCUGGAAACAUCUCAAGACUCCAGCAGCCAGAAAGAUUAAAGGUUUUGAGAGAUUUGAUACGAAUGUUGCUUGGAAGACUCUUAAGUUCCUUGCAAUUUUCUAGGUUCAAAUGACUCAACCCCGUGAGAUUAUUAAUUGACGAGGACAGUUCUUUAAUUUUUGACUUGGAUAAAUCAAGCUCUUCUAACUCCUCCAUACCUUCUAAAAUCUCUGGAAACAUCUCAAGACUGGAGCAGCCAGAAAGAUUAAAGGUUUUGAGAGAUUUCAUACGAAUGCUGCUGGGUAGAAUCUUAAGUUUCUCGCACCCUUUCAGAUUCAAUAAAACAAGGUUUCUAAGAGUCCUAAUAGACUGGUGAACCUCAACUAAGCUUCUACAACCUUGAAGAAUUAGCCUCUCAAGAUUUGGCACAUUUGUGAAGUCAGGGGUUUCCUCAAGGUAUUGACAAUAACUUAAAUUGAUGACUUCCAACUUUUCCAGCGUCUGUUAAAACAUUUAGGAAAGCAUGCAUUACUUAAUAAGACAUCUCACUCAAAACCCAAACAUUUAAAAGAAACAAAUACAUGUAAAUGAUUGUACAUACCUGGGUUCCUUCCCAAAGUCGGUCAAUGAGACUAAAUUGCAUGUCAAGUUCAACAAGAUUUUUGAAUUGAAAGUUGGAUAGCAAAGACUUGAGAGGGAAUCCAAACCAGGAGAGAUACCUCAAGUUAAGUAACUUAAAGGGCCCAAUCAAGUGGUGUUUGCAGUAAUCAUGUUUAGAAAUGGAGUCCUUAUGACUGAUCUUGAUAAGUCUUAGUUGAUUCAUGCUAACAAAAGCUUCAGCAUUUAAGCAUACCCAGUCUGAGUACGAGAAAUCCACGAUUAUGCUUUCAACUGAUUUUGUAGCCUGUGUAAAUCAAAGUAAGGGAAAAUACAGAGAACCUUAGUUUAGAUUAUGAAACUAAUACUUGUUUCUUAAGGAGCCGUUUGAUAAUCAUUUUGUUUUUAGUUUAAUUGUUUUCAAUUUUCAAUUAUUAAAACAAUAAACACUAAAGGUUGUACCCAGUGCACAAGGCUCCCGCUUUACGCAGGGUCUGGGAGAGAUGAAUGUUGGCUAGCCUUACCCCCAUUUAUGGAGAGGCUGCUUCCAAGUCUCGAACCCGAGACCUACCGCUCAUGGGCGAAGGCACUUGUCAUCACACCAAGUGCGACCUCUUAUUAAAACAAUAAACACUAAAAAUUAAAAAUUAAAAACAAAAAUACUUAUCAAACGGACCUAAGAAAUUGAUUUUGAUCAAAAGUUGAAACUUUUUAUUGACAAUAAGAAAAAGAUUUCUCACCGUAUUUUGAGAUAGCACGUGAUGAACAUCUUCAUAACUACACAACCUACUUCGUCUCCCAGGCUCUUUGAUACAUUCUUGGCGGACGAUUUCCCGACCCAUUUCCUCUAAUGAAUCAUGCAUCUCCAGUUCCCCCUCCCCUGAGACAGUUAUGAGAGCUCGAUCGAUUAGAACUCUUAUUCCAGUAUAAGGAUGGAAACCACAAACUUCCAGAAUUCGGGUUGCACAGUCUUUCUUCAUCCCUUUAAAGAAACAUGCAAUGUCCAGAAAGAUGUCCUUCUCCUUGUCAUCUAGUCCAUCGAAGCUUGAUUUAAGCACAUCAUGAAUUCCCCUUCGUGGGAUUUUCCUUAUUUUUUCUAACUCAUCUUCCCACUCGCGUAUAGUUUUGUUACCAAGAAAAGCUCCCAAGACUUUGUGUGCUAAAGGCAGGCCUUGAGCAUAUUCUACGACAUGAUUCGAGAGAUCAUCAUAAUCUCUGGUAGGUUGGUUUUUUCUGAAGGCGUGCCGCCUAAAGAGUUUCAGAGCUCCAGAAUCACUCAAAAUCUUGGGAUUAUAUAUCACAUCAGCUAUGCUUAGUAAUUGCGAAUCUCUAGUUGUUAUAAUAAUUCUGCUUCCACAACCAAAGGAAUGUGGCUCUUCAAGUAAAGCUUCAAUUUGUUCUAAUUCGUCCACAUCAUCAACAACAAUAAGAACUUUUCUCUGACCAAGGCUUUUUAACAUCACCUGAAAACCAUUUUUUGAUAUGUCAGAACUCCCCACCUUGUUGUUCGAGAUAUUCGAUAGAAGUUGUGCCUGCAUAUGUAGUUUGCCAUGCUUCAUGAAACCUUCCUUGAAAUUUUCAAGAAAGCAACAAGCUUCAAAUCGAUUAGCGAUUUUAUCAUAAACAGCUCUAGCGAUGGUUGUUUUGCCUAAACCACCCAUACCCCAUAUUCCAACAACGCGAACAUUAUUCGUUUCACCUCCGGGAGGAUAUAAUAAUAAAUGCAUUUCAUGCAUGUGAGAAUCCAUGUCAACCAAGCCAUUAUCUUUGCUUGAUGUUGAUGAGAUGUCGAUCAAUUUCCUAUAAACAUCUUCUACAAUUUCCUCAAUAAGCACCGCAUCAUUUCUGUCAAAUUUAAAAAACAAUAUAAUAACACCACCAAAUGAUAAUUAAUGGGUCUUUUUCAUCUGUUAGUUUUCAAAAAAAUAGAAAUUAAAACUAAAAACUAAAUAUUUAUCAAAUUACCCCUAAACGUUACAAAAAUCCCAAAAAUUACUAGGAAACUAAAACAAAUUAGAAUUUACUCAUAGUUUCGCGAAUCCCAGCCGGCUAAACUGGUGGCAGUUGUAAGAGCGGAUCUCCAGCUCCGAACCUCCUCUAUUUCGGCGUUAGAAUCGAUAUCGUGCUGAGCAAAAGCUUCCGCGAAACUUUUCUUGAGUUUACGAACAUCAGACGGAUCAACUUCAUAGAAAAUGGGGAGUACAAUCUGGUUAUUGGUACCUUGCAUUCCAGGAUUUGCACGAGUUCCUUCAAGCACCAAGUGGAAGAAGCAUAGUUUUGAGAGAAAACUACAAUCGAAAGCCUCGACUCUUGAAUCGCUGUCAGGAGCUCGGAAAGGUGGUCGCCUUUUCUGAACUUUUCGGCAUCAAUGAAGGCGUUGAUUGGUUUCUUAGCCAGAGCGUUGUAGAGAUGGCUGACGAAGCCCCUGCGAGUGUCUUCCCCUCUGAAAUUGAUGAACACAUCGUAUUUCCAACCAAAGCCAGAAGAAGAAAAAGAAGAAGAAGAAGAAGCAACCAUUUAUCGAUCGCACCUGGUCACCGAUGAUCGAGCAGUUAUGACUAAGAGAAUUGUAAGUACAUAAAUACUCAAUGAGUCAAUGCAAAAGGGAAAAAGCGAAAAGGAAAUGGUUGUGAUAUCCAUACUUUAUUUUACUUUUUUAUACAUUUUUGAUAAUUUAUUUUUGUUAAUUUUUUUUAAUUCAUCUAGUUUUACAUUUAAAAAUUAAAAAAAUUUAUGAGAAGUUGAAAUGUGUGAAUAUCACGUCCAAAGGAAAAUUAUGCUUUUAUGUGUUUUCAGAUCUUCUUCAGGGAAAUUUCGAUGGGAAUGGAAUCUGCAUGCUUUUGAUUUUUAACCCAAGAAAAUGCCAAGAAAGGGGUCAAAGUAGUAAAUUUAAUCUACACUUGCCUACCCAACCACCUCUUAAUUUAAUAUAUUUAAUCGAGAAAAGUAGGUUAGAGGAAGGAUGGUAUCUCCUUUUCCUCUCUCAGUCUUCCAGCAUGCCAUUUAAUCAUGAUUAAGGCUAAAGCUUAAUUAUAGAUCUUGAUUGGAUUAUUAGUUUCCGUUGUAAUAUGGUGGUUAGAAGAUUAAAAAAAUUAUGAUUUAUGCUUUCAUAUGCUAACAAUUAAUGAAGAAUUAACAAAAUUUUAAAUUUUAAAUCUAAAUCCUAACAUAUUUUACCAUAGAAGCUUAAAUCUUAAUUUACUUAUCACAUGGAUUAUUUUAUAACUACCUUACUAUUAAUUCAAUUAAACCUAUUAUUUCUACGAAAACUAAAGAAAAGUUAAAAAAAAACUUUAGUUUUAAUGAAAAAAGAAAAAUGAAUGUGUAGUAAAUAAUACCAGAAAAAAAUAAAAAAAAUAAUUUUUUAUUAAAAAUAAACAGUAUAAAAAAUGUUGCAUUAAUACUCUCAUUAUUUAUUUACAAAUACGUGACUAAAUCACAAAGUGUUAGAAUGAAAGGGAGCGCUCAAAACGAUGAAAAGCAGGAGCACAGAAAGCUAUCUCCGUUUCUUUGUUGAGCGGACAACUGUUUAUUUGUCGUUCUUUUGGCAGAUAGCUCCUAAUGGCCCAUUUCCACAGCUGGUUAUAGGAUUCUGUUGCUAUAUAAGAAGUGUUUUGUUGUAAUUCAAUAUCGAUGGAAAUUCAACAGGAUCUUUUUCAAAAUUUUGUGAGGAUUUUGGGGUGUUCGUGAAUCUUGUUCAUCGUAUAUUGUGUAGUUGUUUUUUAUCGAAUAUUAUUUUUGUUUAAUUUUAAAUAAAGUAAUUUAAAAUAAUUUUUUACUGCAAGAUGUAUGAUGAACGUAUAUGAUUCACAGAUCUCCAAAAUCCUCACAAAGAAAAUCCAAAAAUGAUCUGAAUUCAAUGGAGAUAAGUUAAUUUUGAAUCAAAUAACAUUAGGAAAGAAAAAUAACAUUAGACGCCAGUCGGGCGAAGGAUUGGAGCCUAGUGCCUAGGCAGCUAGGCGAAGCCUGGGCGAUUAGGCGGCUAGGCGGCCUAGACGGUUUUAAAUAAUUUAUUGUAUAUUUGUAUAAAAUUAUUAUUAGCACUUCAAAAAUCUCAUUUUAUACUCCAAAUUUUCUAUAUUAAAAAAGAAAAAUACACUUAUGAUGAGUGUAGAAUGAGAUUUUUGAAAUGCCAAUACACUUCUCUAUUUUUAUUAUAUAAAUCAGUUGGACUUAAAAAAGAAAAUAAAGAAAAUAAAACAUUGUUCAAAAACUAAAACUCUAUAAAUAUAAAAAGUCAGGUCUUGAUUUAUCAUUACAAUUGAUAAAUAAAGGAGUGUGCUAUCUACACAACUUUUUUUACUUCUCACUCCUAAAUAAAAAAAUGAUGUGUGGAUAUCACAUCCCUAAAUAAAAUAUAUAAAUAUAGAUAGUUGGAGGAUAUCCAAGAGACAUUCUUUGGAGGAUUUUAGAGAAGAAAGGAGUACGAGUAUAUAUCCAAGCUAUAAAGGAUAUGUAUGAAGGAGCAAAGACUGCCGUAAGAACUCAUGAAGGACAAACCGAAAGCUUUCCCAUAACUGUAGGAUUACAUCAAGGCUCAUCCUUAAGUCCUUACCUUUUUGCGUUGGUAAUGGAUAAGUUAACAGGACAUAUUCAAGAUGAUAUUCCUUGGUGUAUGCUUUUCGCAGACGAUAUAGUGUUGAUAGAUGAAACUCAGGAAGGGGUAAAUGCAAAGCUUAACCUUUGAAGAGAAGUGUUGGAAUCUAAAGGUCUUCGCCUAAGCCGAUCAAAGACAGAAUAUAUGGAGUGCAAGUUCAGUACAAAUGAAGGCCAAAACGAGUUAGGGGUGAGGAUCGGAGAUCAAGAAAUACCAAAGAGCAACCGUUUUCGUUACCUAUGAUCUAUCUUGCAAAAGAACGGAGAAUUAGAUGGAGAUCUCAAUCAUAGAAUGCAAGCUGGAUGGGUGAAGUGGAAGAGUGCAUCCGGCGUGUUGUGUGACCGCCGUAUGCCACUGAAGCUCAAGGGAAAAUUUUAUAGGACGGCAAUAAGGCCGGUGAUGCUGUAUGGCACAGAAUGUUGGGCAGUGAAGCAUCAACACGUACACAAAAUGGGUGUAGCGAAGAUGAGGAUGCUUCGUUGGAUGUGUGGGCACACGAGAAAGGAUAAGAUUAGGAAUGAGGAUCCGGGGUAAAGUAGGAGUAGCCGAAAUUGAAGGAAAGAUGAGAGAAAAUCGGUUACGGUGGUUUGGACAUGUGCAAAGAAGGCCUACUGACGCUCCGAUUAGAAUAUGCGACUAUGGGACAGAGGUUCAGGGCCGAAGGGGUAGAGGAAGACCUAGGAAAACUUUGGAAGAGACUUUAGGAAAAGACUUAGAGUACUUGGAUCUAACGAAGGACAUGACACAGGACCGAGCACAAUGGCGUUCUAAGAUUCAUAUAGCCGAUCCCACUCAGUGACUUGGAUUUUCCAAGUCUCCAACCGAGAAGUUUUCCUCACUCGGGAAAUUAAGGGAACACUACCUCAACCUACAUGCUCCACUCACAAAGCUUCAACAAAAGAAAAUUCAAAGAACUUAGCGAAGAAUGAUUUGGUGUAUUUAACACAAACGUUGAAAUGAAGGAAAGCUUAUUUAUUGAUAUUCCCGAUAAGCUACAAAUAUGUACAUAUACAUAAGGUUGCUUAGGAGAAGUCUCAGCAGCCGGUAGAGCCCCAGAAAGAGAAGGCACCAGAGGGGGAUCAUUCGGAGCCUCAGAACUGGACAGAACCCUAGAAGGAUGAGGCAUCAAAGGUUGAUCAUUUGGAGCUUCAUUACGCGGUACAGCCCCAGAAGAUGAAGGCAAUAAAUGCCUUUGGAACAAACCCACAAAUCUCUGAUGAUCAAGUAAAACCUGACCAUCAGAUUCCUUCAUCUGGUCAAGCUUCCUCUUCAUGUUUGUAGCAUAGUCAUGUGCGAGCCGGUGCAACUGUUUAUUCUCAUGCUUGAGCCAUCUAAUCUCCUGUUUGAGACUCAUCACUUUAGCCGCCAAUGAUUCAACUUGGCGGGUUCAAGCAAAUAGGCGUUGGGCCGUAUUAGACACAGAACCUGCACACUGAACACUGAGAGCCAGCGAAUCCUUAACAGCUAACUCAUCAGACCGUUUGGAAAGUAGUUUGUUAUCUUUGGGAGUGAGAAGGUUCCUGGCCAUCACCGCAGCGGUCAUAUCAUUCUUCAUUACGAAAUCCCCAACGGUAAGAGGACCAGUAGGGGAGACGAAGGAUGUGCGCCAUAUGUUGUCUGGAGAAGGCGGGGCUGCCUCUUUAACAAGGUUCAAGUCAAAACGACGGUCGGAGGGGCCAGACAUUUUCAAAGGUGUUGAAGAGAGAAGAUGUCGGAUAAAUCAAGAUCUUAGAAGUGCAAGAAUGGAGCUUCUACUGGUGGAUUUCAAGUGUGCUUUAGAACUUAAUGACAGCCCCUAUAAAAAUCUGCACUCGACGGAGCUUCAGAAAUCGAAGAGGCGUUUGCUUUCUCAAAAGUUGGGCUGCUCAAAGACCACGAAGGCCAAUCUCAGAAAUCGAAGAGGCGCUCGCUUUCUCAAAAGCUGGGCUACUCAGAGACCACGAGGGCCGAUCUCAGAAAUCGAAGAGGCACCUACUUUUCCAGCCUUGUCAGCACCUGUCACACGCACACUCAGCUUUGCGGAAAUUAUGGGCAUUCUGUCGAAGACUUCUGGUGAAGUAAAAAGCACAUGAAUCUUACUGUUCAAUCACCCACUUCCCACACGCAACAAUAGCUCAUGGGUACCACAGAUAACUUUGCCAAAGUUGAGCACGUGAAGCUUGCAGCUCCUACUACAUCGCUCUGACCAAGAAGGGUAAAAGAAUAGCAAAGAAACAGCACUAACAAAGUUUAGACCCAUAAAUUUUGAAGGUCUAGCUACCAUAUUAUUACCCACAAGGGUAAAGGAACAGUACCACUGCUGGAUAAUUGGAAAGUCCCUGUGUGUCAACCUCUGUGCUUCGUGGCAAGGUAGACUAGCAAACAUGCCCAACCUUUACUCACAUUCGAGAAAACACUCCCAAUAAGAUUGCUUGCUCCAAAAUCGAAGAGGCACCGUCCUCCGAAUCUCGAGAGCCAGACUCCCAACAUGAAUACUUUCUCAAAAAAAUCGAAGAGAGGGUAAAGGAACAGUACCAUUGCUGGAUAAUUGGAAAGUCCCUGUGUGUCAACCUCUGUGCUUCGUGGCAAGGUAGACUAGCAAACAUGCCCAACCUUUACUCACAUUCGAGAAAACACUCCCAACAAGAUUGCUUGCUCCAAAAUCGAAGAGGCACCGCCCUCCGAAUCUCGAGAGCCAGACUCCCAACAUGAUUACUUUCUCAAAAAUCGAAGAGACACUGCUAUCCCGAAUCUCGAGAGCCAGACCCCCAGCAUGAUUGCUUUCUCAAAAAUCGAAGAGGCAUCGUUCUCCGAAUCAAUCGAAGAGGCGCUCGCUUUCUCAAAAGCUGGUGGGCUGCUCAGAGACCACGAGGGCCGAUCUCAGAAAUCGAAGAGGCACCUACUUUUCUAGCCUUGUCAGCACCUGUCACACGCACACUCAGCUUUGCAGAAAUUAUGGGCAUUCUGUCGAAGACUUCUGGUGAAGUAGAAAGCACAUGAAUCUUACUGUUCAAUCACCCACUUCCCCACACGCAACAAUAGCUCAUGGGUACCACAGAUAACUUUGCCAAAGUUCUCUGCCAAAGUUGAGCACGUGAAGCUUGCAGCUCCCACUACAUCGCUCUGACCAAGAAAGGUAAAAGAAUAGCAAAGAAACAGCACUAACAAAGUUUAGACACAUAAAUUUUGAAGGUCUAGCUACCAUAUUAUUACCCACAAGGGUAAAGGAACAGUACCACUGCUGGAUAAUUGGAAAGUCCCUGUGUGUCAACCUCUGUGCUUCGUGGCAAGGUAGACUAGCAAACAUGCCCAACCUUUACUCACAUUCGAGAAAAACACUCCCAACAAGAUUGCUUGCUCCAAAAUCGAAGAGGCACCGUCCUCCGAAUCUCGAGAGCCAGACUCCCAACAUGACUACUUUCUCAAAAAUCGAAAAGGGUAAAGGAACAGUACCAUUGCUGGAUAAUUGGAAAGUCCCUGUGUGUCAACCUUUGUGCUUCGUGGCAAGGUAGACUAGCAAACAUGCCCAACCUUUACUCACAUUCGAGAAAACACUCCCAACAAGAUUGCUUGCUCCAAAAUCGAAGAGGCACCGCCCUCCGAAUCUCGAGAGCCAGACUCCCAACAUGAUUACUUUCUCAAAAAUCGAAGAGACACCGCUCUCCGAAUCUCGAGAGCCAGACCCCCAGCAUGAUUGCUUUCUAAAAAAUCGAAGAGGCAUCAUUCUCCGAAUCUCGAGAGCCAGAUCAUCAAUAGGAUUGCUUGUUCGAAAACCGAAGAGGCACCACUUUCCCAACUUCAAGAGCCGGAUCUCCUUGGAUAAAGCUUGUCUAUAAUCUUCACACGGAACAUCAGCUUUCCAGAUACCACAGACCACUUUUUCAAAGUGCUCUGACAGAGUUAAAACAUGUGAAGCUGGCAGGUCCCACUACCGUGCUAUGACUAAGCAGGGUAAAGGAAUAGCAUUACUACUUGUUGUUAGGGAGACUCCUAUAUAUGUCGACCUCCAUCCCCAACGACAGGCAGACCUGCAAAAAUGCUCAACCCUUCCUCAUAUCUGAGAGGCCACUCCCAACGAAGCCUUUCAAAAUAUUCAGCUUUCUUCCCCCUCCCCGAUAAUACCUCUGCAAACAAGCUAUACUAGAGCAAGAAUAUCUCAUAUCAUCAGGGUUAAAAGCAAGAGUAUCCCAUAUCAUGCUUUUUCCCUGUCUUUUCCUUUGGCCUUGUUUUUACCUGCAAGACAAGGAGAAAGAGAGCAAUCAGUCAGCACUUGGAAUCAAGCUUCCAGCCAGGAACUGACUGCCUGGAACCCCUUACCUGAUUACUUACCUGGCAUUGCUCUCGAGUACUCAUCUUCAACAUCUUAUGUUUCCAGGGAAGAUUACCGCAUCUGCCUUGAGGAACAGAUAGGGCAAGUGCGAAGGAUACAAGGAAGCAUGUGGAGACAAGCGUAACAGCACACGUGCCGAUACAUCCAUUACUCUGUCAAAAGCAAAAGUAUCCCAUAUCAGCAGGGUCGAACGUACUCUAGAUUUGAUGGACUUGUUUUGACCCUCAAAUUCUUCAGUCGGCCUUAUACUCUGGAGGAAACCAGAAAACCCUCCAGCUCAGUUCAAGAAUAAGCCUGUGGAAAGUUACUUCUUCAAAAGCAAAAGUAUCUCAUAUCAUCUCUUCUCAUUUUUCUUCUCUUUAUCCUUCAUGCUGCCUGCAAGAUGGGGAGAAGGUGAACAAUCAGCCGGAGCUCUGAUUGCUUACCUUGUCUGUCACCUCUUUCAGCAGAUCCCCUAGCUCGGCGACUUGGGGGACUCCUACUACAUGGUUUGUAUCGCGCUUGACCAAGCCUGAAACUACAAGUAAGCUUCAAGUGAAAUUGAUACAUUACCUUGUGCAUCUCCACCAGUUAAAGAUACCACCCCUGGAUGGAGGAAGAGUACUUCCAGAGAAGAUGCCACAUCUACCUAUGAGACAGAUAAGGCAAGUCAAGACGAUACCACACUCCGAUACUUAGAAGUUUCGUGAUUACGAGAUCAUUCUCCCACAAUAUUUCCUAAUGUCAUUUGUACUAAAUCAUUCACUUGUACUCACUAAAGGAGAGCUUGAACCUAUGUACUUGUGUAAACCCUUCACAAUUAAUGAGAACUCCUCUAUUCCGUGGACGUAGCCAAUCUGGGUGAACCACGUACAUCUUGUGUUUGCUUUCCUAUCUCUAUCCAUUUAUAUACUUAUCCACACUAAUGACCGGAGCAAUCUAGCGAAGAUCACAAAAAGCAACCGUUUUCGCUACCUAGGAUCUAUCUUGCAAGAGAACGGAGAAUUAGAUGGAGAUCUCAACCAUAGAAUACAAGCUGGAUGGAUGAAGUGUAAGAGUGCAUCCGGCGUGUUGUGCGACCGUCGUAGGCCACUGAAGCUCAAGGCAAAAUUUUAUAGGACGGCAAUAAGGCCAGCGAUGUUGUAUGGCACAGAAUGUUGGGCGGUGAAGCAUCAACACGUACACAAAAUAGGUGUAGCGGAGAUGAGGAUGCUUCGUGGGAUGUGUGGGCACACGAGAAAGGAUAAGAUUGGGAAUGAGGAUAUCCGAGGUAAAGUAGGAGUAGCCGAAAUUGAAGUAAAGAUGAGAGAAAAUCGGUUCCGGUGAUUUGGACAUGUGCAAAGAAGGCCUACUGACGCUCCGGUUCGAAGAUGUGACUACGGAACAGAGGUUCAGGGCCGAAGGGGUAGAGGAAGACCUAGGAAAACUUUGGAAGAGACUCUAAGAAAAUACUUAGAGUACUUGGAUCUAACGGAGAACAUAACACAAAACCGAGCGCAAUGGCGUUCUAGGAUUCAUAUAGCCGACCCCACUUAGUUGGAAAAUGCUUUGUUGUUGUUGUUGUUGUUGUAUAGAUAGUUGGCGCUUUGUAGUGGGCGGUAAGUUCUAGUUUUACCAUUAAAAAAUAUACACUGUCAAACUAGUGUGGGUUCUAUCAAUUUUUUUAGUAUUUUAUUUAUUUUUUCACUCUGUCUCCGUGCCAUGGUCUUGAUAUUAUCACUCCUUUAAUAUUUUAUUCAUAUUUUAUUCUACUUGAUUUAUGAUGGUGUGUUUUUUUGACCAAGGUUUAUAAUGGUGUUUGUUCUAUAAGUCGGCAUAUUUGCCAACCGCAAUCGAUACUGUCGUUCUCAAACACAAAGCAAUAGUUUGCUACCGAAAACAACCAAAGUGUGACAAAGGGAACCGUCUUACACCUAACCUGUUUUUCCCUCAUCAAAUGAGCGCGUUGAUCUGCAGGUAUUUUCUGCCAUCUCAAAACCUGUUACAAAGAAAUAUAACGUUGAUGUCGAGCUGGAUAGCAUAUUAUACCAAUUAUGUGUACAAACCUAUUGAAAUAAAGUAGCUGUAGUUGCAUAUUACGACAGAUAUUAACGAAAACAAAAGAAGGCUCGCCUAUUCAAGAUCCUAAAUCCCGUGAUUCUUUUGUUUUUAGUUUCAGAAAUUUUCAGAGCACAAACUGGAAAGUACCAAGAUACUUACAUAUUGGGCAUAAUGAAAUGCAUCUUCAUCUUUCAAGCAAGAUUUGAGUGAGCGCAAACCGUCCUGAGAGUUACAUAAGUCAAUCAGUAAUAUAAAAACGUAUACGCAUCACAUCCAAACACAAGUAUUCAAACACCAACAACUUCUUCAUGCGGUGAGGCAUGUUAAAAAAUAGGGAAGAACAGUUAUUGAAUAGGAAGUUAAAGGACUAAAUUUAUGACCUUGUGUUUGUAGUUCUUGGCUCGUAUGCGUUCAUCUAUUACAAAACCAAUCUGUAACAGGUACAACAGAAAAUAUAAGCAGUAGUCAGAACAUUAAUCUUCGGCAUUCACAUUGCCACCAAUCCAAAGUUAAAAGUCUGAAGGCAAAACAGUAUGAUUCUUAUCUCUCAAACAAAAAUGAAACUAUACCCCGGUCUCAGACAUAAAUGAAAUAAGUUCUACUGCCUCAACUGAGUACUGUGAUUAUAUAUAAAUCCAAUUCACCUUGUCAAGUAAUCUCUUAGGAUCUUGAAAUGCUUCCUUCUUAGCCCAGUCAUUAAAUACAUGCGAGAAAAUUGAUCUCUCAUCCACACUGAAUCUAUUGCACAGUGACAGAAGAAUAAAGUUAAACAUGAACAUAACCAACCAAAAAUGCUAGUUAUAAUAGUACACCCAUAAUUGCAAGCAAAACCUUUUUAAGAAGCCAUUUCCAUGGUUUUCCUCCCCAAAUUCCAUCAAUUCUGCAGAGGCAACGUCAAAUUUACUAUGAUGGAGAUCAUUUUGCACUGUAAUAACUUCAGAAGGUAGGAGAUUUGGUUUCAGAUCAUCUGUUGACGGAGUAGUUUCUUUUGAAGUGUCAUGAUGCUUUGAUUGCAAGCCUUCUGUACUUACGUCAGCCUACAAAACAAAAAUUGCAUUCAUCCACACUAGACUUAAUAAGAUUAGAAACACUUCAGAUUCUUCAUUAUUUGUAUUUUUGACUAAACAGCAGAACAACUGAGGAUAAUGAACAGUAAUACACACCUGGACUUCUCGUAGAUGAUUUGGAAUUUCUUUCAGAAAUCGCGAAGGUUGAAGCAUCUGAAGGAGUCACCUUCUCAGUCAGAGCAACAACAACAAAUAAGGAGGACAGGAAUUCAAGCUAAAACGAACCUGCCAACUGGAAUCCAUCGUAACAUAAAGAAUGAAAAGCUUUUUUCGAGCACGAGUCAUUGCAACAUAUAAUAGGCGUCUCUCCUCCUAUGAUUAGAGUGGGAUUAUUGAGUUAUUGAUCAAAAGAAAAAAGAGUGGGAUUAUUGUGAAAAACAUGUCAAAGCUCUGCAUAUAACUGAAAAAUGUUGAACAAUUUACCACACACCUCAAUGGAGGUCCCAUUUUCUUUUGCAACCCCAUUGAAUUCAUGCAACAACGGGAUCUCAGAUUCAUUUACCUGUGUUAUUGGCAUGAGCAUUAAAGCAAGCUAAGAUGAUUUGAAGAGGUUGAUAUCGUCAUGAAUAUAGUAGAACAGAGAAUACCAAUUUCAAGCCAUCAAUUAGGUAUAGCAUUGGCAUGUUUAAUCCGUAAAAUCUAAUGACAGAACACCUCAACUCUACACAUAAAUAAAUAAACAACCUGAAAAAUAUUACAGCCACAUGUUAAGGCAAAUACCUUAAUUAUGAAAACUAUAUCCCACUCUAAACCUUUUGACUGCAAGAGAAUGAAAAAGAAAGACAGUAAGCCAAGAAUGUUUUGUAGAACUCCAAAGGAAGUCCAAUAGGGAAAUCAUCGCAAGUAUAAGAGUUAGCGAGGUUCGCAUAAGAGGAUAUCAAAAAGAUCUAGAACCUGAUGAAUAGUAGUCAAAGUGACAGAACUUUGGUUGUCAUGUCUUCGGGAGUGAAAAUUUUCACUCUCCUGCUCAGAUAUGUAGUCGAUGAAAGCUUUGAGUAAAUUAACGCAGCCUUUUUCUUCUGCUACGACUUCUCUCUCUCCCCUUUUCCCGCAACAAAAUGAGUUGAUAAGAAAUCAGAUACGUCGUCUAGUAGGUACUGAAGAACCUGCAAUGAGAAUAAUCGCAUCACAGCAACAGGGUUGGACCAAGAUUUAAGUGACAACAAUGAUUAACUAACUAAAAUAGAGAAAUUAUUCAUUUAAGACCUUGUUGACGGAAAAAAGGGUUUUCCAAGCAGCGGGUCAUUUAAGCUUAUUGUAUAAAUGACAAUCAUCACAAACGGCAAACUUACAGAUCUCACGUCAUUGUCUUCAUUCAGCAGUUUUCCUCCAUCUACAUCAACGACUGCACGUUGCUCAAGACGGUACUUCUAAAAAUUGAAAGUCAACAACAACAACAACAACAACAAAGCCUUUUCCCACUAAGUGGGGUCGGCUAUAUGAAUCCUAGAACGCCAUUGCGCUCGGUUUUGUGUCAUGUCCUCCGUUAGAUCCAAGUACUCUAAGUCUUUUCUUAGAGUCUCUUCCAAAGUUGUCCUAGGUCUUCCUCUACCCCUUCGGCCCUGAACCUCUGUCCCGUAGUCACAUCUUCGAACCGGAGCGUUAGUCGGCCUUCUUUGCACAUGUUCAAAAUCACCGGAGCCGAUUUUCUCUCAUAUUUCCUACAAUUUCGGCUACUCCUACUUUACCUCGGAUAUCCUCAUUCCCAAUCUUAUCCUUUCUCGUGUGCCCACACAUCCCACGAAGCAUCCUCAUCUCCGCUACACCCAUUUUGUGUACGUGUUGAUGCUUCACCACCCAACAUUCUGUGCCAUACAACAUCGCUAGCCUUAUUGCCGUCCUAUAAAAUUUUCCCUUGAGCUUCAGUGGCCUACGACGGUCACACAACACGCCGGAUGCACUCUUUCCAUCCAGCUCGUAUUCUAUGGUUGAGAUCUCCAUCUAAUUCUCCGUUCUCUUGCAAGAUAGAUCCUAGGUAGCGAAAACGAUCGCUUUUUGUGAUCUUCGCUAGAUUGCUCCGGUCAUUAGUGUGGAUAAGUAUAUAAAUGGAUAGAGAUAGGAAAGCAAACACAAGAUGUACGUGGUUCACCCAGAUUGGCUACGUCCACGGAAUAGAAGAGUUCUCAUUAAUUGUGAAGGGUUUACACAAGUACAUAGGUUCAAGCUUUCAUUUAGUGAGUACAAGUGAAUGAUUUAGUACAAAUGACAUUAGGAAAUAUUGUGGGAGAAUGAUCUCGUAAUCACGAAACUUCUAAGUAUCGGAGUGUGGUGUCGUCUUGACUUGCCUUAUCUGUCUCAUAGGUAGAUGUGGCAUCUUCUCUGGAAGUACUCUUCCUCAAACGAUAAAUUAUUACGAAGCAUUGAAUAUAAGCAUGAAACGAAGAAAAUGUUAUGGAAUGGUGAUCCUCAUCCUCAAAGAUGAUUAAAAGCAAUUUGAUUCAAAAAUGACAUAUCAACUCUGGAGAAAUGGAAGACAAACCUGUGGUACCAUAUUCGCAACUGAGGUUAUGACAGCUGAAAUCGAUUGUUCCUGUGUGCAUUGAUAAGUGAGACUACCAUAGAGAUUCACAACUAAAUAAAGACAGGUAUUCCACAGAACAACCUUUACCUCUUUGGAAACACAGAUCUAACAAAAACUAUAACAUUUUGGAUUAAUAUUGACGAAUCAAGAAUAAUGCAAGGGAGCAAGAGAUACUCUUCCUUCUAAUAACAAGGAGGCGUGAAAAGUAUACAGAGUUCCAACAAUUAGAGAACUAAAAUCAAACUAAAAAAAUCACCAAAGUAGACAGAAUCUCACUUCGCCAAAAAUUUGAAAAUAUAUCCUUUUUAUCCAUUGAGAUUCAUGAACUACUACUACUACUACAUCAUGCCAAUAAGCAAUGCGUAAGAGGUGCUACAAUUUACCGAAUAUAUUUACCCUGAGAACAAGUUUUGAAAUCAUCUCUAGUGUUAACAGCACCUUGCGUCCUUGGGUAAGCUGAGUCCUAUUAUCAAGUAAAGAGACCAAUCAGUACAUAUCCAAAAGAUCUUAAAUGCUUGUAAUACCAAAUAAGAAAGAAACAUGAGUAUAUCUUGAAUUAACCAUGUAAAAAUGUAAUGUUAAAGCAUCUUGUCAUACAGACCUCUUCAAGGUACCAGAAAUUUUUGCACUAAAGAUGUCACAAGCAGCUGAUAUGAAGCUGCAUUUUCUGUGAGUUGAAAUUUUGUCAAUAUAAUCGAUCACCUGAAGAGAGAGAGAGAGAAAAAGACAGUGAUAUCCAGAGAUGUGAGCCUAAAUGCUGAGUGUGUAAAAAAAGAAGAUUAAAUGGAUAGCAAGAAUAUACAACUUUAAUGCUGAAAAGAACAUUGAAUAUGAUGCUCAUUCAUCAUUCCCAUUGAACGUGUACCUUCUUCUUUUCCUCUUUCUCAAAAGCAAGUAGAGCCUUGAAGACUUGCCUAUAUGAUCCAUCAUCACAACCAGGCAAAGUUGUUUUAAUCAUAGCAACAAUGGCUCUAACUACCUGCCAUAAGAAACAUGCUACAUCAACAAGAUCACAGAGUGUACCAGAAACCGUAAUGUAGCAAAAUCUUGGAUAAAAUAGCUGACCAAAAGGGAAUGGAAAAGCAAGCACGAAAAACAAUGAAAAGGACCAGUGAUGCCAAAAUUCUGGUGGAAAAGGUGAAAAGCUUCUGCCUAUUACAAUUUUUGUAUGCAUUCUUUAUAACUUAAGUUCUACUAGCAAAAACCACCUUAUGCAAAAUAAUAUUGGAAAAAUUAGAUACAUACAACUGAGAAGAUAGGUUUUCAUAAUCUGGACAAGUGCUAACUACCUUCUUCCUAUAAACUGCCACUCCAUGAACAUUAAAUGGUAUUUUCCUUUCACGCAAGGCUGUCUGGAAGACUUUUCCUGAUACCUGUAGCAUAAAAUACAAAAGAAAAUGUGACCAAAAUGUCUUAUAUGAUUCACCUCAUUCACAUUAGCACUAAGGCAAGUAAGCUUGACCUGCCUCCGGUAAAGGAUUGCUAUAUUUCCAUAGGAGCACCCUGCUUCUGACCGUUUCGAUGCAGUCUCCAGGAUCUUGUCGACAACAAAGGCGCAUUGUGCAUCCUCAUUGUGACUUUCCUUGAUAAUUACCUACAUUUUGCCAGUAAAACCAGUGUCACUAACUAAAAGGACUGAAAAAUGACAUCAAAUUGUACUUGUUGGAGCAAGGAAAGAUUAAGUACCUUAGACCCAGAAGAAUUGUCCGUGUCAACAUUCUUUAGUUGGCAUCGCUUCUUAUUGUUUUUUAUAACAGAAGAUGCAGCUUCCACAAUAUAGCGUGUGGACCUAAAGUUUUUAUUAAGCCUAAUCUGAACCAUAAAGUUAUGUCAAAUCCCACAGAAACCCAUAAAAUAAAACUUACUUUCCUGUAAUUGUACAAUAUAUUUGUUCUAUACUAUAUAUAAUGAAAAAAGACACUGUGAAUGACAUAAGAUAACAUAGCAGUCAAGUGCGAAGCGAACCUCUUUGUAAUUUGAAAAAUCUUUACGAAAAGAAUCAAAUCCAGAAAUGUCCGCCCCAUUGAAACUGAAAAUGGACUGCAGCAGGAUAUAUGUUAUUUGAUUUAGAACAGAUAAGGGCUGGAUUAGAAUGAGCUGAGAGAGAGAGAGAGAGAGGGAGAGAGGGAGAGAGGGAGCAAUAACAUUGGAUUUCCAUAAUAAAUCAACAACAUGCCUGAUCAUCAUCACCAACAAUGGUUAUGUGGUUAUGAGAGGCGAGAAUCCGCAAAAGACUAUAUUGCAUAGCACUUGUGUCUUGAAACUCGUCUAUUACAAUAGCUUUCCAUGACUCCUGGCACUCCUUCAACACUAAUUAAGAGAACACCAUGUAUCAACAUUUAGCAUUACUUGUAAAACUAGAUAAAUCAAUGAAAUAUACUUAGAUGAUAGAGACCUUCAGGAAAAUCACUUAGCAGCUUCACAGAGCAGCUAAUUAAGUCGUGGUAGUCCAAAGCGUUGCACGAUUUCAAGAUAUCAUUGUAAUUCCUAAGAAUUUCACCCUGAUUCAGAUUGAGAGCUAAAACUCAUAAGCAAUAGUUUCAAAGAACUGAAAUGAUAUCUGAAAUUCUAGUUCUGAGCGUACUCCUGUCACAUCACCCAUUCUUCGGCAUUCAGCGGGAGUCUUUCCAGAAGCUUUUGCCUGAAACAUAAAUAAAUUUACUGCCUAAUGCCACAUAUUGUAAGACACACCAUUGUAUUGGUCAUUCUAGCUUGAUUGUAGCUAAUAUUUUUUAAAUCGAAUGAUUAGAGUUCUUAAUCCACAAUAAUCUGAACAUUAAAUUUGGUAUUCAAGACUAACCUGUGUCACAAACUUCAGCCAUUUCUUUGAUGCAUCCUUAAAAUGAUGUGGAGAUGUUACGCCGUCAGACUCUUCCCCAUCUAUAGCAACAUUAAGAUUCGUUUUACUCUUUUCAUCUUCUGAUAACCGCACAGCUUCAAUGAUUGCUCUUCUCUGUUGCCCAUGUCCAUAUAUCAAAAAUUCUGGUCUGCGCUUGAGUCUAAAACACAAGCCAACAUAACAGACUCAGCUAUACCACCAAAUGUAUGGUGUUCAAAAUCAAGGGAGGUGAAUCAAUAGCUUACUUCUCAGCAUGUGAUCGGCAAAGUUGCAAUGAAAAUGAAUGAAAUGUACUGAUUGUUAGUAGUUUUGCCGUUGCUUUCCCAGUCACAGAUCCAAUUCGAUCUCUCAUCUCGGAAGCUGCUGCUGUAGUGAAAGUCAUUGCUAGAAUGUUCGACGUGCUAAUGCCCUAAGAACACAAAAAAAAAAAAAAAACGAAUAAGAUUUCGAUCAUAAACAAGAAAUGUAGAGAAACACACAAUUACGAAAGAAAAAGUUAGAGGGAAAGUAGCAACACCUCAUUGAGCAGCAUUAGAACGCGCCCAACUAUCGUUGAAGUCUUUCCACUUCCAGGGCCGGCAACAAUCAUCAAAGGUACUGAAAUAUAGCUGCAAGCUGCCUCACGCUGCCUUUCGUUGAGAGAAAGCAAAUACUUCAAAUACUCAUCCGGCAUGUUAGGCAAUCCAUGGUUAACAGAAUCUGUUUGGUUUUCACUACUCAAAGGCGGCGCUGAUGGCACUAACGUGUUAUGACCCAAAUUAUUACUGAGGUUUUAUGCUUUAUUACUGUGAGGAAUUGUUAAUAUACCAGCUGGCAUUUAAAAGUGUAGAGGUUUUAUAAAAGGAGCCCCAGCUCCCCCAAAUGUAUCAGAUCAGAAUUUUACAAAAGAAAUCAAUAUUGGAGCUCUGCUCCUUCUUCUCUCCUUCCCUCUUCUUCCAUAGCUUUCUUGUGCCACUUACAGGUUGAUUAAGGGAAUUGAGAAUUAGAUCUUAUCAAUGGUAUCAUCCUUCUCGAAUCCUGGUUUCCCUCCUGUGCACACCCACCCACCUACGUUUUCUGCCAUGGUUGCUGCGCCCAAGGAUUCGCUUCGCGAGACCCUGGAUGCUCUAUUCGCACCCUACCUGGCUAAGAUCCGCCGUGCCCGUGAGUUGGCUCUCAGCGCUGAGGGAGACUCCACUCCAACCCUUAUGUUCGCUAUCAGUGAUGGGGGAGUUCCUGAUCCAGCCCCGAUGAUUGCCGAUGACGCUGCAGGAAUCGAUCUCGGUCAGAAAAUAAUUCCACGAGUCGCUGCAUCAACUAAUCAGAUUCUGCCGUUGCUCUCGUCAUCGCCGUUAUUGCGAGCACUAGCAAAUCCUCCUGUCAGGCCACCGUCGAACUCAAACGCUUCAUUGGCAAAUUCGCCCAGCCAGCCGCUACACUCAAAUGAUAUUGUAGCAGCCACAAUUCCAUUGCGGAAUGUUGAGAAAACCAGGCCCGUUGCGAUUGUGACCACAAUGCCGCUAUUUCCGAUUUCAGCAACCUUUAGCACUGAAUCAGCCCACGCUCACAAUCACAACCUCGUUUUGAGCACCAAGGAAGCUACAACAAUGGCGCAUGUUCUGGGUUUUCCUCUCAAGAAAGCAGGAGCUACUAAAUCUGUAGGUAUAUCUCAUACAAACACCACGAAGCGUCGACACGAGGUAUUGACAUCCUUGCUUUCCAAUUCUACAAAUCGGAAGGACAAAUGGUAUUGGGUUUUGCAGGUUAUUUUGGCAUAUUAUACUGGUGUUAUUGUGAUAAUGUAUGACGACUUCUUAACUGAUAAAUGUGGAUGGGGUAAUUGGUACCUUGUGGGACAAUUUGUGUUACACGCGCCCCUAAUUUAAAUCGUAUUUUUACUAAAUUUGAGUUUAUCUUGCUUUUAAAAUUAUUUUUGGGUUUUAAAUGGUGUGCCCAAGGCCCACCCCCUGUUUUGUCCCCCGUUCCCUUUCCCUUUCUUUUAUUUAUUUUCUUCUUUCUUCUUCUUCUUCUUCUUCUUUUCUGUUUCUUUUUCUUUCUUUUCCGUCUGUCCCUCUCGGCUCUCUCUGCGCCCUCUCUUCUCUGCACCGCAACAAGCACACGCACGCACCCAUUGCACCUGCGCGAGGAAGACCAUCAUCAUCUCGUCCUGCUCUCUCUCCCUCUCGUGUUUGCGAACCCAGAAAAUCGGAAAGGAUCUUCCGCGAGAUUUUUAUAUUUUCCGGUUAGGUAAGCCUCAAAUCCCUCUCUUUCGUCCUAGAAUCUUUUGAGAAUGGGUUCUAAUUGGUUUUAUUUCGUGAUUUUUGGAGGUUUUAGGAUGAAAACAAACUCGGGUGCAGGAACACCCAUUUCCGGCGAGGAACCCGCCACUUUCGAGUUAAUCUCCGGCCAAACCACGGCGAGUUGGCCGGCGUGCAAGGUAUCAAUCUCUUCGUCUCGUCGAUUACUACAACUUUCCUUUUUGUUUCACCCAAUUUCGUUGAGUAUUGAAGAAGUUAUACUCAUUUGAAUCUUACCCAGUUUCCGGCGAGUCCGACGGCUUUCGAGGCGUUUUCCGGUCAAACCACGGCGAAUUAGACGUCGUGUGAGGUACCAUUCUCUUCGUCUCUUCGAGGGCUACAACUUUCGUUUUUGUCUCGCUUGAUUUCGUUGAGUUUUAACAAAGUUAUAGCCAUUUAAAAUUGGGUGGUUUUCCGGCCGAAAUUCCAGCCUUCUUCUUCCUCGGGUCCGGCGACCCAUCAAACUUGGGCCCUUUGGGCCGUUUCUGUUAAGGGCUUUAAGCCCAAACCCUAAACCUUUGGGCUUUAGGACCAAACCCAAGAACCCAAACCCUAUGACCCAAACCCGGAUCCAAGCCCAGACCCGUUUGACCUGGUCCGACCCGGAUCCUGACCCGUUGACUUUGACCGGUCAACGUUGACUUUUCUAGUUGACUUUUCGGGUUUUCGUCCAAGACCUUCCUAGGCUAAUUUCGACGUCCUGGAUCCGUUUUUGAAGUUCGUUUUCCCAAAUUCAAUCGUUUGAGUAGAGUUUGACUAAAUGGAUCAUUUAUGUGCUUAGGUGAAUUUAAUGACGGCGGUUCCGUUAUUCCUAUUUGGUAUGGCGUUGCACCAACGGUGUACGGUGAGUGGACCCCUUCUAAAAUGCAUGUUUUAUAGUAGAAAUGCAUACAUAAAAAGUAUGAUUUGAUGAUUACCUUUUAUGAAACGUUUUGUGAGAUAACAUGCUUAUUGAGGCUACUUUAAAUUAUUACUAUUUUUCCUAUAACCCGUGUUCUUAUAGAAUAUCUGAUGGAUGACGAUAUGAUAUUAGAACAUGUUUAGAACACCUCUUUAUAGUAUAGAUGAUGGAUGACUUUAUACUAUGAAGUUGUUUUUCAAUAUAUAUGUUCAAUGGUUUUGUACUUACCUAGUGGUCAUUUCCGCUACGGGACGUAGGGAUAGAUUCCGGUCAUUCCCGGGCGACGGUUUGGUGUUGGCAUAGGGCCUGGAGUGUGUUUCCUCUGGCUAUUUAGCACAGGGACGGGGAGCCGGCAUGGGGCCUGAAGUGUAUUUUCCUCUGACUGUCUGCUCAGAGACGGGGAGCCGGCAUGGGGCCUGGGGGUUAUCGGACAAUUCACUAGUGAUUAUUAUAUAUAUAAAAGUUAUGAUUUGAGACACUGCACAUCAUGCUAGGUUUCGGAAAACCUAUGUUUAUCAUUAUAUAUGUGUUUUCAUAAAACUUGGGGGUUAGUACGUUGAUAACUGUUUUGUUAUAUUUAUAUCAAAUUGGUCCACUCAUGUUUGUUUUGCGCCCCCUUCAGGAUUUAGGAUCGAGGCGUACAAUCCCGGCAAUCCAGGCACUUCCGCAUCGGUAUCUUCAAGUCCUCUCGGUGUAGAACCCACUUCUGUGUUCAUUCAAUUUUUAUAUUAAUUCUUUUAAUGUUCUAGAUUAGAUGUGUGCUCUGAACACGUUCCUUAAAUGCAUAUUCUUUAUUUAUAUUUAUAAGUUUUAUCUAUCCUUUAUUUUCAGCAAUUGCACUCAAUAAAUGGCUUUCGUCGCCCUCGGGUGUCGGCCAGCACGUGACCAUCCUGAUAUCCUGAGGAUAUCGGGAUCGGGGCGUGUCAGAUUGGUAUCAGAGCGUGGUUUGUUCAGAGCAUACUUAGGAUCCUCUUCUAUUAUCGUAGAGUGUUGGUUUUGACAUCAUUUGGAUGUCCAGACUUCUAGAUUUGGUGCCAUUCGGCGCAGUCGUGCGAAUCUUCCUCUAUUUGAAUUGUCACAUUCGGGUUGAUAUACAAGAAUUUGUGUCGGGAUUGUGCCUCAUCGGUGACGUGUUUGAAUUGUUGGACGACUUUCAGCUUCAGAUUGAUACUCUACGACGUGCAUUCCCUGGGAAUGACGGGCAUAGUCGGUGUUACUUGGAAGCGACGGAUUUUAGAAAUCUCAGCUUAAGGAAGUCUGGUCAAGACCAGCUGUAAAUUCGAAAUGGCGAUGCCACUCUACAACAUGCGUUCCCUAGGAAUUGCGGGCGGAGUCGGCUUUGCAUCGAAAUCUUGGGAAGCGGAAAAAAAAUCUUGGCAGUACGAAUUGACUAAGACCAACUGGAGUUCUGAAGCGGUGUUGUACUCUGCAACAUGCGUUCCUUAGGAAUGGCGGGCAGAGUCGUAUCUCUUUAGAAAUUACUCGAAACUUUCGAAAUGCAGAUUGAAGAAGCGAGUAAGUGCUAGUGGUGACGACGGUUAGUAGGUGGUAGUUGGUGGGAGCAAAAUCAAUGUUCUCGAACUCAUUACCACUGAAGAAAUUUGGGUGAAUCUUUAUAACAGUUCUCUGUGAUUGUUUUAUCGAUUACCUUCUCGUUUAUUCCAACGACGAAGUCAAGUUCACUGACCUUUGAUCGUCAGCUUCACAUCAAAUCCCUCGAGAGUUGACUUCGUCUAGAGAUUAUACUUUUCUUGGGAAACUCCUCGGUAGCAGACGUUAUUCUCAUCAAUUUCGAAAUGGAGUUGCGAUUCUUGUUGUUGUUGUAGUUGAACUUGGAUAAUGAAGAUUCAGCCUUGUUUGGAUAAACAAAUUCCUUGAACUUCACCUGGGUUUGGUACUUGGUAGUAAACCCUAGUUCCUCAUCCGUGUACUUUUCAGUGAAGGUGAACUUAGUCCCUUGCUUGCAACCUAACUGUUCAGCCUUGUAAUUUUCAGCGUAAUGGCUUGAGACUCUAUCAUAUUCAUCAUUGUACGAAGAUCGAGCUUUACUCUGAACUUCUCUGGGCUCGUUAAGCUUUGAUUUGCUCAGAGGCAUCACUUUAAGGUAGCCAAUCGUGUCACUGCAUGCAUACACAAGCUGCUUUGUAUCUUUCUUCUUCGUUAUUCUGCUGAUUCAGAGGUUUUAUGUUUAAUUUCUGAAUUUUUAAAUGACUAUCGCGAAGUACCGUGAAUCUCGAAAUGUCUUUGGCCUCGUCAAAUCUUAUUAAUAGUUCUUGACUAUUCUUGAGAUUAGACUUGUUCCUUUUGGCUAAGAAACCAGUCGACCUUAUUGUGAUGAGUAGCCAAAUAAUCAUAAACAGUAACUUCUAUUUCUGCAUCUUCAUUUUCCUUCGUUUGUUUGUUUGUUUCUCAAUGUGAACUGGAUCAUGCCGGGACAUUACACGAAGGGUGUAAAAAAAAAAAAAAAAAAAAACGUUUGUUCUCGGCGUGGUUUCUAGUUCAAAUCCGGAUAUCUUGUACUCUAUAUUUAAUGGACUUGUUUUGAACCUUAAAUUCCUGAGUGUUCUUUUAGCCUUAUCGACAUGGUUUCUCUCUCAAUUAGUGAGAAAUUCAUGAUCGAUGGUUUCGGCGGAAGUGUGCGCCCAAUUCUUAUCGAUUUGGACAGGAAUGUUGGGAGCAUAAUCUUUUCACAAGCUUACUAGACUUACCAGAAAGAGUUCCACGUGGGUGUGAAGUUUGAGUUGUCUUUUGGUAAGAGACUGGUGAAGAUUGUGGUGCAGAUGAUUAGCAGAUUGUAUCACUAUCUUCACGCUGAAUUGAAUGGUCACCAUUCAUUAUCCUGCUGCAAUUCAUAAUCAUCAUAUCUUACUCUGGUAGACAUUUUUGAUGAUGUGUUCGCCUCAACGCAGCUUUCCACUACCUCUCACCAGGAUCCUUCGGUUCGAGAGCACGUGGGCGUGAGGUUGAGCGGUCUUUUAGUAAGAGUUGGUUGAAGGUUUUAGUUCAGAAGGUCAGCAUAUUGUAUCACCAUCUUACUAGAAUUCAUAGGCAUCACAUCGGUUAUUUUCCAACGAUAUGUGUUCGUGUCAAUGCAUACUUCGACUGCUUCACUUCUGAACCUUAUUCUUGUGAGUAUGUGGAUGUUGAAUCACUUAUAGCAGAUUUGUUUGGUGCACUCUGGAAUGGCACCACAACGUAGUUGAGAUAAGAAUCGGAAGAUCUUUGCACUUUUUGCGAAUGGUGUGUGCUCUCAUGGGGUGUUUAGGUUGAUUGCAUGAGAGUCAUUCUUUCCUCCAACAUUGAUCUUGUUUGACUAGAAAUCUGCAACUAAGCAAAAAUGGAGAGGUGGAUUGAGCACUACAACAGUUCCCAAGAGAUACUGCGUGUUGAGGAAGAUGACUUCUCGUUUUCUGCUUACCUAGUUCGAGCUUUUGGGUCUACUACUAACAUGGUGGCCACUUCUCUUGAAUCCCAAAGUACAGUUUCAAAUGGGUUCUUUGUUGGCAUAACUCUGGAGUAGUUGGUCACAUUUGGAAUAACUGAGGAAGAGGUUGUGCUUGGUACUAAAGGGAGUUAGUAUGACGAUAGUUAUUGGUUUUGUUCGAUUUGGGUAUGGCACUAUUUGCGACAUGGUACGAGAGUUGCUACACGCAACAUUGGUUGAUAGAGGAGACGUGCAAGCUUGUACUUGGAGGAUCGAAUUUUCGACGUGUGAAAUUGUGCACCCUCAGGAAAUUACUGCUUGUUUACUGAGACAACAAAUGUGUGGUCGAUAUCGCGGGCGGCCGACUGUGGUAUCGAUAAUUUAUUUGUUGGGUUCGUUAAGCAAGUGGGGCAGGAAUAUCCUUUUACGGCAGCCGUUAAAGAUUCACUAUUGUUAGAACUGGACCCAAAGACACAUCUAUUUUCGGAGUACGCGACGUUUCGAAUUCUUGGGCAAGACCCACUCUCAUUCUUCAGUUUUGGUUUUCAGUAUAAGUAUUUUAACCUCAUUUACUCUAGUUAAUUGUUUUGCCAUUACAAAUGUUUUUGGAAAAGUAUUUCCGUUUUCAGUUUUUAAGUGUAGCUCGAAUUUUCAACCUAUAUGUUGGUACAUAUCCAUUUUGACGUUAUCGUAUGUUAUGUUCUUACUUUUGACCUUAAUCUAUUUUAUGUUUUCGACUUUAUAUCUUUAUAAAGUAUGUUUUCUACUUUUACACUGAUGGGGAAGAAAGUAAGCUUGGAGGCAUGAUAGAGGAUUUUGCAACCCGCUCGCGACGGUGUGGUAUAUUCUCUUUGAUGCACCCACUCUGACUUGAUUUCUCUUUAUACAUAUAUUCUUCUUACUAUUUUCGUGUAUUUCAGUUUAGUAGGUGAUUUUAAAUUUCGGGGACGAAAUUCUUUUUAAGGGGGGUAGAUUGUUACACCCGCCCCUAAUUUAAAUCGUAUUUUCACUAAGUUUGAGUUUAUCUUGCUUUUAAAAUUGUUUUUGGGUCUUAAAUGGUGUGCCCAAGGGGCCCCACCCCCUGUUUUGUCCCCCGUUCCCUUUCCCUUUCUUUUAUUUAUUUUCUUCUUUCUUCUUCUUCUUCUUCUUCUUUUCUGUUUCUUUUUCUUUCUUUUCCGUCUGUCCCUCUCGGCUCUCUCUGCGCCCUCUCUUCUUUGCACCGCAACAAGCACACGCACGCACCCAUUGCACCUGCGCGAGGAAGACCAUCAUCAUCUCGUCCUGCUCUCUCUCCCUCUCGUGUUUGCGAACCCAGAAAAUCGGAAAGGAUCUCCCGCGAGAUUUUUAUAUUUUCCGGUUAGGUAAGCCUUAAAUCCCUCUCUUUCGUCCUAGAAUCUUUGAGAAUGGGUUCUAAUUGGUUUUAUUUCGUGAUUUUUGGAGGUUUUAGGAUGAAAACAAACUCGGGUGCAUGAACACCCAUUUCCGGCGAGGAACCCGCCACUUUCGAGUUAAUCUCCGGCCAAACCACGGCGAGUUGGCCGGCGUGCAAGGUAUCAAUCUCUUCGUCUCGUCGAUUACUACAACUUUCCUUUUUGUUUCACCCAAUUUCGUUGAGUAUUGAAGAAGUUAUACUCAUUUGAAUCUUACCCAGUUUCCGGCGAGUCCGACGGCUUUCGAGGCUUUUUCCGGUCAAACCACGGCGAAUUAGACGUCGUGUGAGGUACCAUUCUCUUCGUCUCUUCGAGGGCUACAACUUUCGUUUUUGUCUCGCUUGAUUUCGUUGAGUUUUGACAAAGUUAUAGCCAUUUAAAAUUGGGUGGUUUUCCGGCCGAAAUUCCGGCCUUCUUCUUCCUCGGGUCCGGCAACCCAUCAAACUUGGGCCCUUUGGGCCGUUUCUGUUAAGGGCUUUAAGCCCAAACCCUAAACCUUUGGGCUUUAGGACCAAACCCAAGAACCCAAACCCUAUGACCCAAACCCGGAUCCAAGCCCAGACCUGUUUGACCUGGUUCGACCCGGAUCCUGACCCGUUGACUUUGACCGGUCAACGUUGACUUUUCUAGUUGACUUUUCGGGUUUUCGUCCAAGACCUUCCUAGGCUAAUUUCGACGUCCUGGAUCCGUUUUUGAAGUUCGUUUUCCCAAAUUCAAUCGUUUGAGUAGAGUUUGACUAAAUGGAUCAUUUAUGUGCUUAGGUGAAUUUAAUGACGGCGGUUCCGUUAUUCCUAUUUGGUAUGGCGUUGCACCAACGGUGUACGGUGAGUGGACCCCUUCUAAAAUGCAUGUUUUAUAGUAGAAAUGCAUACAUAAAAAGUAUGAUUUGAUGAUUACCUUUUAUGAAACGUUUUGUGAGAUAACAUGCUUAUUGAGGCUACUUUAAAUUAUUACUAUUUUUCCUAUAACCCGUGUUCUUAUAGAAUAUCUGAUGGAUGACGAUAUGAUAUUAGAACAUGUUUAGAAUGUCACAGCCCGUCCCGGGAUUUCUAUAUCGGGGGCGUGAAUUGACGUAACUACCCUUGACGGACAUUCGGGUACGUGUGUGUGCGACAUUAUUGAAUUAAUUUUGUAAGUUUUGGGAUUUUAAUUUUGGAAUUUGGAAAUUUUUGUGGUUAGGGAAUUGGAUGGAUGGUGAGGAUUGUGUUGGACCACACAAUCACACACACACGCACUCCCUGUCUUCUCUCCCUCCCGUAGCUCUCUCUGUCCCUCUCCCUCACGAUCUCUCUCUUUCCCCUCACCCUAUACGUACGGCCUUCACCCAAAACCCUUCAAAACUCGACGGAUCGAGGCAAAUAAGGUAUGCAUCUUCAUCCUUUCGUCGUCCUGAGUUCAUUGGUGCUAGUUUUAGGAAGUGAAACCUUCGAUUUCACAUAGAUCCCGAACCUCCAUUUUUGAGGUACUGUUCAUGCGAACGUAAAAUGUUGUGUUUCAGGAGAUUUCAAGCUUGUGGUGAGCUUUAGGAGGUUCCUAAGGAAGCUCGGGGACGUUCGUUGGAGAGUUUUGGACGUCGGGAUCGUAGGUUUCAAGUUUGGCCGAAUCUUUGGUUUUUCCAAGGUGAGAUUUCGUAGUUUUUAGGCCCUAAAACAAGUCCAACGUGAUUGUACACUCUUAGGGCUUCAAUUUGGUAUAAAAUACGAAGAAAAUGGGUGAAAAACGAAGGAGAAUAGUGAGUUUGAAAAUCGGCCGGAGUUCGGCCGGAGUCCGGCCACCAGAGAACCAGUCCGGCGAGACCUGCGAAGAAGACGACACGUGCGCUGCACGUGCUGCGCGUGGCCAGCGCGUGGACCCGUGCCACGUGUGGCGCGUGGGGGCGCGUGGGGCUUCCAAAAAUUUUUCUAAAAAUUUCUCGACGCUCGUGACGUCGAGUAGGUCGAUGUGGUAUAUUAUUAUACCAAAAUUGAGCAUCGUAUGAGAAGUUAUUUCAAAUUAUUGGUGAUGUGCUUAAAAUUAAUGUUUUUAUAGUUGUUUCGCAUAUAGGUGAGACGUAUCCCGAGGACGACCGCAUCCAGGGACGCCACGGGGGUUACGACGACCCGUCGACUUAUCAGUGAGUGGGCAGUUUUGUUUUCGUAUUACCUAUAUACUACUGUUUUUCCCAGAAAAAUGUUUAUAUGAAAAUAUGUUUUGAAUAUGCCAUGCAUAGAAUUAUUUGAAAAUCAUGAAUUGGUUUAUGAACUAUAUGAUUGAAAUAUGAUGCAUACAUGUUGCAUGGUGCUGUGGAGGCACAGGUAAGUCAGGUGAGUUCAUUUAUUCAUUGAAUUGUUGUUGUUGAGAUGAGUUGAGCUCAUAAUCUGCACCCUAGGUGUUAGUGCUUAUAUUAUUCACCACACCGCACGCUCGUCUUGGAUCCAAGUAGGUGGAUGUCGUACAGACCAUGUGAGGGUUCCGACAUGCUAGUCGUACAGAUCACUAGGCGUGAUUCCGACUAGUGGGUGACCUUAGUUAUGCGCGCUGAUGAUAUGAUGAGAGAAGCACUAGAGCGUAUUUUUACACCUUUCAUCGUAUAGACUACCUUACGUAGUUCCGAGUGAUGUGCAGAGUAGGGCCGUAUAGGUCACUGUGGUGACUCCGGCUUAGUGGGAUUUUUGAGCUAUUGAAUUAAUCGUAUAGGACCAACUGCAGGGUCUCCGAUUGAUUCCUUAUUUCACCUGAUUUAUAUUUUUUAUUUAUGUCAUGGCAUGUUUUCUUGAAAAUGUUAAAGAUUUGAGAUUUAAAUGUUGAGAUUUUAUAUGGUUAUAUAUAUUUCUGGGAAAGUAUACAGGUUUUUACGGCGAGGGGAUAUAACUGUUUUAAUGAAAUGUUUUGGAAAACUAAUUUGUUUUACUGACCCACUCAUUUUGUUUUGCGCCCCUCCAGGUUCUAGUUUAGCGGUGGUUGGCUCACGAGGUCCUUUCCGGCUUUCUGACAGAUUUGGGACAUGUAGGACUCACCUGAGGGUGAUGUAUUCUUAUUUUAGUCCUACUUGACUGCAGUUAACCUAUGCUCUGAACUUAUGUGUUUACUUGUAAACUCGUCCGGUUAUGUCCGUAUGUGGUUAUGUUGAGUUUGGGUUGAAUUUCUGUUGUUAUUACGCUUCCGUGUCGUGCUUAUGGUUACGUCACGCCCACGUGACGGCCAGCACACCUGGAUCCUCCGGAUCAGGGUGUGUCAGUUUGGUAUCAGAGCUUAGGUUGCAGUCCUGUAAAAUUGUUAAUGUCUUAACGAUCUUUUUGAUGUUUUCUGUCAGAAUCAUGCCGCCUCGUAGAGAGCGUAGGGAGUCCCGCCGUACUCCUGAACCUAAUUUCCCAGAUAUUACUCAGUUAGGGGAAGCGAUGGCCCAGGCUUUACAGAAUGUGAUUCGUCCUCCCCCUCCUCCGAGGACACCUCUGGAGACCAUGUACAACUUGAAGUUAGAUCGGUUUAUGGGUAAUGAAAGUCAUGAGGGGGCAGAGAAAUGGCUUGAUCAUAUUGAGAAAACCUUUCAGGUGAUGCAGAGUCAGGGGAAUCUCCCUGCUAAUAGGUGGGUGGAGACCACCACUUGGUUUCUGGGUUGUGAACCAGCAGCAUGGUGGAUAAAUCAGGCUAGGUACAUGUCACCUGAGACGGCAGCCGACUGGAAAGUAUUCAAGGAGCAUUUUAUGAAGAGAUUUCGUUCCUCCUGAGUAUAUUGACCGUAAGAAGCAGGAAUUCACCAGGUUGAAACAGAGAAAUAUGUCGGCACAUGAAUAUUAUAGAAAGUUUACUGAUUUGUCUCGUUAUGACACUGAUAUAGCUGGUAAUCAGGGAGAGAUGCUUCGACGUUUCAAGUUGGGAUCUAAGAAGAAGUGGCGUACCUUUGCCAAUGCACUUCCCUGCGCUGAUUAUCAUGAGUAUUUCGAGAUUUUGGUUAGGAUGGAGGACUCUGAUAAUCUUCCUGACAGUGAGGAUGACGAGGACAAGAAUGAGGGUCAGAAGAAGAAUGAUAAGGGUAAGGGUAUUUCUAUUCCUGGACCUCGACAGACACAGAGUUUUUAAGAAGAGUGGAGCGAGUUCGAGUUCUUCUAGUGGGGGAUAUAGUUUUACUGGCCCGAGGAGAGGUGGUGGAAGAUUUUCUGGUGGACCCAGAUUUCAGGGUCAGAGGGAUGCUGGUGGAUCUGGCGCUCCAUGGUGCCGCCGUUGUAACUCCCGUCACCAUGGUGAGUGUAGGAGAGGUUCUGGUGCCUUGUUUUUACGUGUGGGACAGAUGGGACAUCGGGCUUCUCAGUGCCCCCAGGGUCAGCAGAGACCGCAGCAGACUAAUAUGCCACCUCCAGCACCAGUUCAGCAGAGUUUUGGGACCGGGUGGUUAUGGCCAGCCGAGUCGUGGUGGUGCCUACCACUAUCAGGGGGAUGCUGCUCCGUAUGCUUCCGGACCUUAUCAGUAUUCUCAGGAGCCUUAUCCUCAGGCAGGGUAUUCUCAGGAUUUUGGAGGUUAUUCUUCUUAUUCCUCUAUGCCAGCUGGUGGAUCGCAGUGGCAUCAGGGAGGCCAGCCCCGUCAGGGGGAAGUUGCUACUGGUGGUGCAGGAUCAUCCAGGCAGCCUAGUCAGCCAGGCCAGGGACGAGGUAAUCAGGGCAAUAGAGGCCGAGGUGGACGUCAGCAAGCUCAGGGGCGAGUUAAUCAUAUUGUCCCUGCAGGAGGCUCAGAACCAUCCAGACUUGAUAAUGGGUACGUUAAAUGUUCUUGGUCAUUUUGCUAAGGUUUUGAUUGAUUGUGGCGCUACGCACUCUGUGAUUUCUCAUACGUUUGCUCAAAUAACCCAACCUCACCCUUCACCUCUAGGAUUUGAUUUAGAGUUUGCCAUGCCUAGAGGAGAUAAAUGUAUUGUGGAUAGUGUGUAUCUGGGGUGUCCAGUGAUGGUUGAGGGCGUGAUUAUGUCCGCUGAUCUUAUUCCGUUAGAUAUUGUGGAUUUUGAUGUGAUUUUAGGGGCCGAUUGGUUACACCAUAAUCGUGCCCAUAUUGAUUGUUAUGGUAAAUCAGUUACUUUUUAUCGUCCUGGAUUACCCGAGGUUAUUUUUGUGGGCGAGAGAAGUGGGGUGAGACAUGGAGUUAUUUCUGCCAUAAGGGCGAGGAAAUUAUUAUCGAAGGGUUGUCAGGGAUAUUUGGCACAUGUGGUAUUAAAUGAUGUUGCUCCUACUAGUAUAGAAGAAGUUGGUGUGGUCAGACAUUAUCCGGAUGUUUUCCCUGAUGAUUUGCCGGGAUUGCCGCCAGACAGAGAGGUGGAAUUCUCUAUUGAUUUGCUUCCAGGUACGGACCCUAUAUCUCUGACUCCUUAUAGAAUGGCUCCUGCUGAGUUAAGGGAAUUAAAAAUCCAGUUGCAAGAAUUACUUGAUAAAGGUUUUAUUCAACCUAGUUCUUCACCUUGGGGUGCCCCAGUAUUAUUUGUGAAGAAGAAGGAUGGAACUCUUUCGAUUGUGUAUUGAUUAUAGACAAUUGAACCGGGUAACGAUUAAAAACCGUUAUCCAUUGCCCCGCAUUGAUGAUUUGUUUGAUCAGCUGAAAGGUGCGUGUGUAUUUUCUAAGAUUGAUUUGAGAUCCGGGUAUUAUCAAUUGAAGAUUAAAGAAGACGAUGUACCUAAGACGGCUUUCCGAACUCGGUACGGACAUUAUGAAUUUUCGGUUAUGCCGUUUGGGUUGACUAAUGCACCUGCAGCUUUUAUGAGAUUAAUGAAUGAGGUAUUCCAGAAAUAUCUUGAUAAAUUUGUUAUUGUUUUUAUUGAUGAUAUUCUGGUAUACUCUAAGUCCCAAGCAGAUCAUAUCCGACACCUUAAUUUGGUGUUAAGGAAAUUAAGGGAGCAUCAGUUGUAUGCCAAGUUCAGUAAAUGUCAGUUUUGGUUGACUGAAGUGGCAUUUUUGGGGCAUGUUGUAUCAGCUCAAGGUAUUCAAGUUGAUCCUCAAAAGAUUGCAGCAGUGGAGAAUUGGGAGCAACCUCGAACCGUCACGGAGGUACGAAGUUUUCUUGGCUUAGCAGGUUAUUAUCGACGGUUCGUUCAGGAUUUCUCUAUGAUUGCUUUACCGUUGACAAAGUUGACCAGGAAGGAUGUUAAAUUUGAGUGGGAUGAGAAUUGUGAGCGGAGUUUUCAACAAUUGAAGUAUUGCCUCACUCAUGCACCGGUGUUGGUACUUCCCGACGAUAGCGGUAAUUUUGAGAUAUAUAGUGAUGCUUCAUUAAAUGGUUUGGGAUGUGUUUUGAUGCAGCAUAAUAAGGUGAUUGCCUAUGCUUCUAGGCAGUUGAAAAAAUCAUGAAAGGAACUAUCCUACUCACGAUCUUGAAUUGGCAGCAAUUGUUUUUGCUUUGAAAAUUUGGAGGACAUUACUUUGUAUGGUGAGAAGUGUAAGAUCUUCACUGAUCACAAGAGUCUUCAGUAUUUGUUUACUCAGCAUGAUCUUAAUCUUCGUCAGCGAAGGUGGAUGGAAUUGUUAAGUGAUUAUGAUUGUUCUAUUGAAUACCAUCCAGGUCGUGCUAAUGUAGUAGCGGAUGCACUGAGUAGGAAACCUCAAGGUAGACUUAAUGCCCUUAUAUGCUAGUCGUGUUCCUCUUCUUGCUGAAUCUGAGGACAACUGGGGUAAGGUUGGAAAUUGAAAGACCGAGGAUGGAGCUUUUCUUGCUAGUUUUCAAGUCAGGCCAGUUUUGGUGGAGCGUAUACUUGCAGCUCAGAUGGUGAAUGAGGAAAGUUCAAGGAGUUGGUUCAGUUAAGAAGUGAAGGGAAAAAGAAAGACCUCAGAAUUCGGGAAUCAGACGGUAUGCUCAUGCAAGAAGACAGAAUGUAUGUUCCGAAUAAUGAGGAAUUGAAGAAGGAAAUUCUGGACGAAGCACAUUGUUCAGCUUAUGCGAUGCAUCCGGGAGGAACAAAAAUGUAUAUCAUACCAUUCGACCAUUUUAUUAUUGGCCGGGUAUGAAAAGAGAAAUUGCAGAAUAUGUGAGCAGGUGUAUUAUUUGCCAGCAAGUGAAAGCAGAAAGAAAGAAGCCAUUUGGGCGAAUGCAACCCCUUCCUGUUCCCCAGUGGAAAUGGGAAAAUAUAACCAAUGGAUUUCGUGUAUAAACUUCCUCGUACGCGAAAUGGAUUUGAUGGUAUUUGGGUGAUUGUGGAUCGACUCACCAAGUCGGCGCAUUUCAUUCCUGUGAGGGAGAAAUACCCUCUGAAUAAAUUGGCUAAGUUGUUUAUUUCGAAGAUUGUCAAGUAUCAUGGAGUCCCAGUAAAUAUUAUCUCCGAUCGAGACCCGAGGUUUACUUCUAAAUUUUGGGUGGCUUUUCAGGAAGCUCUGGGUACUCAAUUACUGUAUAGCACAGCUUAUCAUCCUCAAACUGAUGGGCAAUCAGAGAGGACCAUUCAGACGUUGGAAGGAUAUGUUGAGAUCUUCAGUACUGCAAUUUGGUGAUUCUUGGCAUGAUCGUCUGGACUUAAUGGAGUUUGCUUAUAAUAACAGUUUUUCACUCGAGCAUUGGUAUGUCCCCAUUCGAGGCACUUUAUGGUAGGGCGUGUCGAACGCCAUUAUGUUGGUCUGAGGUUGGUGAACGGGUAUUAGAAGGCCCUGAGAUCGUGGAUGAGACGACUCAAAAUGUUCAGAUAAUUAAGUCAAACCUGAAAGCAGCCCAGGAUCGACAGAAGAGUUUAGCGGAUCGGCAUACUACUGAUCGAGUGUAUGAUGUGGGUGAUUGGGUAUUUUUGAAAUUGUCGCCUUGGAGAGGUGUAGUACGAUUUGGGAAAAGAGGAAAGUUAAGCCCGAGAUAUAUUGGACCUUAUGUGAUCACUGAAAGAGUUGGUGAAGUUGCCUAUCGGUUGGAACUGCCUCCGGAGUUAUCUAAGGUCCAUAAUGUGUUCCACGUCUCUAUGCUUCGGCAUUAUAUUUCUGAUCCUUCUCAUGUGAUCCCUCCUCAACCGUUAGAGAUUAAUCCGGAAUUUGACGUAUGAUGAGGAACCGGUCACUAUCUUGGAUUGGAAAGAUAAGGUUCUAAGGAACAAGACGGUGAGUUUGGUAAAGGUGUUGUGGAUGAACCAUUCUGCAGAGGAAGCCACCUGGGAGACGGAAGAUCGGAUGAGAGAGAUGUACCCAAGGUUAUUUUAUGGGUACUAAGUGGUUAAUUUGGAUUGUGGGAAUUUCGGGGACGAAAUUCUAUAAGGAGGGGAGAUUGUCACAGCCCGUCCCCGGGAUUUCUAUAUCGGGAAUGUGAAUUGACAGUAACUACCCUUGAUUGGACAUUCGGGUACGUGUGUGUGCGACAUUAAAUUGAAAUUUUGUAAGUUUUGGGAUUUUAAUUUUGGAAUUUGGAAAUUUUUUGUGGUUAGGGAAUUGGAUGGAUGGUGAGGAUUGUGUUGGACCACACAAUCACACACACACGCACUCCCUGUCUUCUCUCCCUCCCGUAGCUCUCUCUGUCCCUCUCCCUCACGAUCUCUCUCUUUCACCCUCACCCUAUACGUACGGCCUUCACCCAAAACCCUUCAAAACUCGACGGAUCGAGGGGCAAAUAAGGUAUGCAUCUUCAUCCUUUCGUCGUCCUGAGUUCAUUGGUGCUAGUUUUAGGAAGUGAAACCUUCGAUUUCACAUAGAUCCCGAACCUCCAUUUUUGAGGUACUGUUCAUGCGAACGUAAAAUGUUGUGUUUCAGGAGAUUUCAAGCUUGUGGUGAGCUUUAGGAGGUUCUAAGGAAGCUCGGGGACGUUCGUUGGAGAGUUUUGGACGUCGGGAUCGUAGGUUUCAAGUUUGGCCGAAUCUUUGGUUUUUCCAAGGUGAGAUUUCGUAGUUUUUAGGCCCUAAAACAAGUCCAACGUGAUUGUACACUCUUAGGGCUUCAAUUUGGUAUAAAAUACGAAGAAAAUGGGUGAAAAAACGAAGGAGAAUAGUGAGUUUGAAAAUCGGCCGGAGUUCGGCCGGAGUCCGGCCACCGGAGAACCAGUCCGGCGAGGACCUGCGAAGAAGACGACACGUGCGCUGCACGUGCUGCGCGUGGCCAGCGCGUGGACCCGUGCCACGUGUGGCGCGUGGGGGCGCGUGGGGCUUCCAAAAAAUUUUUCUAAAAAUUUCUCGACGCUCGUGACGUCGAGUAGGUCGAUGUGGUAUAUUAUUAUACCAAAAAUUGAGCAUCGUAUGAGAAGUUAUUUCAAAUUAUUGGUGAUGUGCUUUAAAAUUAAUGUUUUUAUAGUUGUUUCGCAUAUAGGUGAGACGUAUCCCGAGGACGACCGCAUCCAGGGACGCCACGGGGGUUACGACCCGUCGACUUAUCAGUGAAUGGGCAGUUUUGUUUUCGUAUUACCUAUAUACUACUGUUUUUCCCAGAAAAAUGCAUUUAUAUGAAAAUAUGUUUUUGAAUAUGCCAUGCAUAGAAUUAUUUGAAAAUCAUGAAUUGGUUUCACAUGAACUAUAUGAUUGAAAUAUGAUGCAUACAUGUUGCAUGGUGCUGUGGAGGCACAGGUAAGUCAGGUGAGUUCAUUUAUUCAUUGAAUUGUUGUUGUUGAGAUGAGUUGAGCUCAUAAUCUGCACCCUAGGUGUUAGUGCUUAUAUUAUUCACCACACCGCACGCUCGUCUUGGAUCCAAGUAGGUGGAUGUCGUACAGACCAUGUGAGGGUUCCGACAUGCUAGUCGUACAGAUCACUAGGCGUGAUUCCGACUAGUGGGUGACCUUAGUUAUGCGCGCUGAUGAUAUGAUGAGAGAAGCACUAGAGCGUAUUUUUACACCUUUCAUCGUAUAGACUACCUUACGUAGUUCCGAGUGAUGUGCAGAGUAGGGCCGUAUAGGUCACUGUGGUGACUCCGGCUUAGUGGGAUUUGAGCUAUUGAAUUAAUCGUAUAGGACCAACUGCAGGGUCUCCGAUUGAUUCCUUAUUCACCUGAUUUAUAUUUUUUAUUUAUGUCAUGGCAUGUUUUCUUGAAAAUGUUAAAGAUUUGAGAUUUAAAUGUUGAGAUUUUAUAUGGUUAUAUAUAUUUCUGGGAAAGUAUACAGGUUUUUACGGCGAGGGGAUAUAACUGUUUUAAUGAAAUGUUUUGGAAAACUAAUUUGUUUUACUGACCCACUCAUUUUGUUUUGCGCCCCUCCAGGUUCUAGUUUAGCGGUGGUUGGCUCACGAGGUCCUUUCCGGCUUUCUGACAGAUUUGGGACAUGUAGGACUCACCUGAGGGUGAUGUAUUCUUAUUUUAGUCCUACUUGACUGCAGUUAACCUAUGCUCUGAACUUAUGUGUUUACUUGUAACUCGUCCGGUUAUGUCCGUAUGUGGUUAUGUUGAGUUUGGGUUGAAUUUCUGUUGUUAUUACGCUUCCGUGUCGUGCUUAUGGUUACGUCACGCCCACGUGACGGCCAGCACACCUGGAUCCUCCGGAUCAGGGUGUGUCAUAGAACACCUCUUUAUAGUAUAGAUGAUGGAUGACUUUAUACUAUGAAGUUGUUUUUCAAUAUAUAUGUUCAAUGGUUUUGUACUUACCUAGUGGUCCUUUCCGCUACGGGACGUAGGGAUAGAUUCCGGUCAUUCCCGGGCGACGGUUUGGUGUUGGCAUAGGGCCUGGAGUGUGUUUCCUCUGGCUAUUUAGCACAGGGACGGGGAGCCGGCAUGGGGCCUGAAGUGUAUUUUCCUCUGACUGUCUGCUCAGAGACGGGGAGCCGGCAUGGGGCCUGGGGGUUAUCGGACAAUUCACUAGUGAUUAUUAUAUAUAUAAAAGUUAUGAUUUGAGACACUGCACAUCAUGCUAGGUUUCGGAAAACCUAUGUUUAUCAUUAUAUAUGUGUUUUCAUAAAACUUGGGGGUUAGUACGUUGAUAACUGUUUUGUUAUAUUUAUAUCAAAUUGGUCCACUCAUGUUUGUUUUGCGCCCCCUUCAGGAUUUAGGAUCGAGGCGUACAAUCCCGGCAAUCCAGGCACUUCCGCAUCGGUAUCUUCAAGUCCUCUCGGUGUAGAACCCACUUCUGUGUUCAUUCAAUUUUUAUAUUAAUCCUUUUAAUGUUCUAGAUUAGAUGUGUGCUCUGAACACGUUCCUUAAAUGCAUAUUCUUUAUUCUCUUAUAUUUAUAAGUUUUAUCUAUCCUUUAUUUUCAGCAAUUGCACUCAAUAAAUGGCUUUCGUCGCCCUCGGGUGUCGGCCAGCACGUGACCAUCCUGAUAUCCUGAGGAUAUCGGGAUCGGGGCGUGUCAAUUUGUGAAGAAGAAUUUUUAUGCACUGCAACUGUUUGAUCGUCUGUCUAAGAGAGGGAGUGCAAAUGUACAUGUGCUUUAUGUGGCCUCUUUAGAUAUGCAUGAUUUAGAAGCUAGCCCUAAACUGGAUGGUAGUAGCAGCAAGCCAAGGGUUAAAGAAGUGUCUUCUGAAGAAAAAGAUAAUGUGUCUCACAUUGAGAUUAAGAUUACUGAAUACCAUAGCUCCGAUGAAAAGUGUGUUCUGAGGUAUCUUAAUCUUUCAGACAACGCCAUGGGCAACUAUGGUGUCAAUGCAUUUGAGUCACUUCUUAGUUCACAAAACAAUUUGAGAGAACUUUAUUUGAUGAAUAUGGCAAGGCUCAAUAUGUGUCAUAACAUGAGGGAGUGGCACUGCGAUGCUAUUAGGAAGAUCAAAUGGCUGAAUGAGAAUGAGAUUUCUGUUAUGAUCAAUACCGAAGGACAAGCAAACUAUGAAGGUUUUUUUUAUUGUAUCAAAUAUGGUGAGGAGCUCACUUUUAAGCUGUUGCUCUAUUUCCAAGCUGUCAAGGCAAAAAGUCUUGGGUUUACUAAACUUGGGUCACCAAAAGAGGCUAAGAAGGUUGUUGGGAACAUGAAUGAUGUUACUGCUAGUGCCAAACAGCUAAAGGAGAUGGAACAAGGCUUGACCAGUUUGAUAGUUUUGGGGAAUGGGCGAUUGUCUGAUCUUAUUGCACAGCUGCAGGAUAUAUUAGAGGGUGUAAAUGAAGCUGAUAUCUUGCCGGAGAAGUUUGAUAAUGCAGUUAUUAAAGCUCAGAUUCCACAAUUGGCUCGAGAAAUCAGGGAGUUAACCUCAUCUCGACCUGUAACCAUCUACAAUGAGAAUUCUUCCUCUAGUGGGAAUUAUGCUUCAUAUUUAGUUCCACUUGCUGCACUUGCUGCAAUGGGCUAUUGUUACAUGUGGUGGAGAGAUUGGUCAUUUUCAGAUGUGAUGUAUGUGACAAGGCAUAAUAUGGCAAAUGUUGUUGAAGCUCUAAUUAGAGAGGUAGCUAGCAAGAGCAAUGACUUUGCUGGGAACGGAACAACAAAUACAUUGAAGAUGAGUGAAUGCGCUAUGGGCACCUAUUUAGAUUUAGUAUGCUCUCUUAGUCACCUGGAAAGCAAUUUUGGUGGUGCCUUAGUUAUUGAUUUACAUGUUGAGUUCUCUUUGUUUUUCACUUGUAACCCUGACUGUCGGCUUUUAUGGGAUCCAGGAGAUGCAAUGGCUAAAACUGUUAAGAUGAUACUCUAUUUUAAAAAUGUCAAGGCAGAGUGGCUUAACAGGGUUACAAAAAUAACCAAGUUUGGUAGUUUUAUGGUACAAUUGGAUAGAAGUGUUGAAGCUUUGAAUAAGGGCAAAAAGCAAAAAACUAGAGAUGGUGGAUAUGGUGAUGAGAUAAAGAGAUUGCAUGAUUUAAGCGUGAACAAGGUUGUGGAUAUGGCGACUAGGUUCGAAAGUGCAUUGGUAGGACAUGUUAACAAUAUAAUUUGUAGUACUACUGUAAGAUUGGAGAGACUUCACUCCGAUGAUUGGUGGUGUUCUGCUAUAUCUCAACUGCUGAUGAUUGGUAAAUCCAUCGUAUCUAGUUCAAACAAAACUCAGGAAGCAAAUGUGGAUGCUGUUUUGGGAACCGGUGAUCCGAGUCUACUAGUUGAGAACACUUCAGUUGAGCAGCUUGGUUUCGUCAGAAAGGUGACAAUCUUUAAGGACUCCACUUCCAUUAUUGGUGAUGCAGCAUCAAAAGAUGGGUUGCAAGUCCAUGGUGUGUCUCCAUUUGACAUUAUGGGCAGAAAUCUUUUCUGGGAAAAGCAACUGCAAAGGCUGCAAAUGGGAGCUGUCACAAGAAAGUUCUUGGUGGUUAAUUUCAGUUCUGGUUUUGAUGAAUCUUCAUAUCUCUCUCGGGUUGAAAAUUUUGAGGAGAUGUCACAAGAAAAUUAUGGAGAGGCUACAGGAAACAAGAACUCACUCACUCAGUUCAAGCGAGCUGCCAUACCUGGAAGGAUUAUAAUGAUUUCAAAGUCAAGUUCUACAAUUCCAUUUUUAAGCCUUGAGGACAAGGCUAAUUUUCAAGGGGGAAGUAUUGUUAUGACCCAAAUUAUUACUGAGGUUUUAUGCUUUAUUACUGUGAGGAAUUGUUAAUAUGCCAGCUGGCAUUUAAAAGUGUAGAGGUUUUAUAAAAGGAGCCCCAGCUCCCCCAAAUGUAUCAGAUCAGAAUUUUACAAAAGAAAUCAAUAUUGGAGCUCUGCUCCUUCUUCUCUCAUUCCCUCUUCUUCCAUAGCUUUCUUGUGCCACUUGCAGGUUGAUUAAGGGAAUUGAGAAUUAGAUCUUAUCAUAACGUCACUACCACAACUCCCAAUAUCAUCACGCUGAAUGUCCACACUCGGUUUCUGCUCAAUUAAAGCGUCAAUUUCCUGCAAAAUACUCUCAUCGAAAUCAUCAUCGUUAAGAAUUCCAGAUGCAGAGAAAGAAUCAAAUGAAGUCAGAAACUGCGGUUGUCUGAUUGGAGUUGUGAAAGAAUCCGAUUUUGACACGCUUGAUUCGGUCCGGCUAACGCUUAAGCUCCCGGAACACGAAGCACUGCCAUAUUCACCACGCGCUGAAUUGUACCGGCUUGCGGAAAUCGGAAGCGGUGUUCUUUGAACUCUAUUGAGCUGAGUUGGCGUUUGGAUUCCAUUUCCGCCAAAAAACACAAUUGAAUUGAUUUAAAUUGAAGCAAGAAAACAGCCAAGUAGCCAAAAAAUAGUAAGAAGAUGAAACCUUUGAUUCCUGAACGACUUACUUGGUAUGAGGGAGGUGAUGAUCAGGUGAAACGGCGUCGUUGCAGGGGCGUUUGCGAUCAAUGAGGGCCUUGGCGGCUCUGAAAUUCCGAGAGAUGCGGUUUCUUUGUUCCGCCGUGAGCCCUCCGCCGUACGCCUGAACGUUUUCCUUGGACAUUGCUUCCAAGAUUCCAACGGAGGAUUUGGCCUGACGGCCUGACCAGGCUGAUAACAGUGUAAAACCUUAGGAGCUAAGGAAAAACUAAGAGAGAGAUUGUAGAGAGGGAAAGUUUUUUCUUUUUGGAAACCAGUAGAGAGGGAAAGUUUGUUAAACCUGAAUAAUAUUCUUUUCAUUCAACUUGUCUACAAUAAUUACCACUCGUGGUAUUUAUACAUUUGUAACACACCUCACUAACUAACUAAGACCACCACCAAUCAUACAUAAACACUUGUCAUAAUCCUAUGCACUCAUAGUAUCAUCACUUUAACAUUCCCCUCAAGCUCAUGUGGCAGAUUGCCAAGCAUGAGAUUGGAACAAUUACGAGCGAACUGGGGUGAACACAAGCCUUUGGUGAACAUGUCGGCAUAUUGAUCUGCAGAGGUAACAAACUACAAAAUAAUUGUCCUUUGAUGAACUCUUUCACGAACAAAGUGGCAAUCAAUCUCUAUAUGUUUGGCUUUAUAGUGCAAUACAGGAUUAGUGGCAAGAGCCAUUGUUGAAAUGUUAUCACAAUGCAAAACUAGAACAGAAGGAGAACCAACAUGCAAAUCUCGAAGAAGCUGUUGUAUCCAGAUAACCUUAGCAGUGGUUGUAGCCAUUGCUCUAUAUUUAGCUUCAGUGGAAGACCUACUCACUGUAUGCUGCUUUUUAGAACUCCAAGAGAUAGGAGUAUCUCCCAAAAAAAUGACAAAACCCGUGGUUGAACGACAAUCAUUGGGAUCCCCUACCCAAUCAGCAUCUGUAUAAGCUUUCAACUGAGAUGAACCUGAUUUAAAACAUAAUCCCAAAGAUAUAGUGCCUCUGCGAUAUCGUAGAAUACGUUUCACAGCAGCAAAUGAGUGGCUAAGGGUGAAUGCAUAAACUGACGUACUUGAUUGACAGAAAAAUAAAUAUAUGGUCUUGUAAAUGUUACGUAUUGCAGUGCCCCAACAAUACUUUUGUAAGUGGUAGGAUCAAAAACAGGUUCACUACCAUGAUUCAGAAGCUUCUGAUUAGGAUGACAAGGUGUGGAAAAAAGGUUUACAGUCUAGCAUAUGCAUCUUUUAAAGGAGUUCUUUGACAUACUUGGUCUGAUGAACAAAGAGUCCCUGACCCUGAUACUCAAUCUGUAAACCAAGAAAAUAAUGCAACACACCUAGAUCUUUCAUGCCAAACUCACUAGUUAACUAACUAAUAACCUUCUGAACCUUCACAGCAUCAUUACCAGUGAGAAUGAUAUCAUCAACAUAUAAUAAGAGAACAAUAAUUGAUGAACCAUCACACUUGACAAAUAAAGAAGGAUCUGCAUAUGAUGACUUGAACCCAAGCUUAGGCAAAUAACCUGAAAACCUGUCAUGCUAGGCUCUGGGAGCUUGCUUGAGACCAUAUAAAAACCUCUCUAGUUUGCACACAUAAUCUGGAUAGGUAGAAUCCACAAACCUUUGGGACUGAGACAUAUAAACUUCUUCAUCAAGAAAGCCAUGCAAAAAAGCAUUAUUGACAUCUAACUGUUUGAGUUUCCAAUUAUGAGAUGCAGCCAAGGAUAAAACCAAUCGAACUAUGGUUGGUUUGACCACAGGGCUAAAGGUUUCAUAAUAGCUAAUACCAACUUCUUGAGAAUACCCAUUAGCUACAAUUCUAGCCUUGUACCUAGCCACUGAACCAUCUGGAUUUCUCUUAAUCUUGUAAAUCCAUUUACAACCAACAAGAUUUUUGUCAGGUGCUAAGGGCACAAGCUUCCAAGUAUGAAGCAUCCAUCUCUUCUUUCAUGGCAUUUUGCCAUUGAACACACUUGACUGCACUAGAAAAAGACCGAGGUCCAAUAAAUGGAAAUGUGGAAGAAACACUAGGUGGAUGAAUGAAUGUGUUUGAAUGCACAACAGACACUGGUGAGGAAGAAUGACCAGAAGUAACUUGAGGAUUGAAACCCAAAGCAUUAGAGUCUAUAGGAAACUUGGAUUCAUAAAAAAUAACAUGUCUAGAUACUAAUAGUUUAUGAUCUUUGAGAGAGAAGCAAAUAUACCCUUUGUAUUGUGUAGCAUACCCCAGAAAAAUACACUUAGUAGUUUUAGGUUCAAGUUUAUUGCUUCUAUAGGGUUUCAAUGAAGGAUAGCAUAAACACCCAAAAAAUCUCAAAUGAUCAAGCUUAGGUGGAGAUUUAUAUAGCAUUUCAAAAGGAGACUGCAUAUGUAGGGUAGGUGUGGGCAUUUUGUUUAUAAGAAAAGUAGCAGUGGCACAGGCAUGGAACUAGAAUUUUGAAGGUAAUGAAACUUGUUGUAAAAAGGUAAUAGUUGUUUCGACAAUAUGUUGAUUUUUUCUCUCAGCCAACCCAUUAUGUUAUGGGGUAUAAGGACAAGAUUUUUUAUGAACAAUGCCUUUGGUAAGAAGAAAUUGCUUAAACUGAGUACUAACAUAUUCCCUACCCCCAUCACUCUGCAAAAUUUUUACAUGAGCAUCAAAAUAAUUCGAGACAGAAGCAAGAAAGUUGACAAAAACAGUGAACACUGCAACUUUAUUAUUUAAUGGAAAAAUCUAGGUAUAUCUUGUACAUUCAUCAAUAAAGGAAACAUAAUACUUGUAACCUUCUAUAGACAAACUAGGUGAGGGACCCCAAACAUCUAUGUGAAUUACUUCAAAUGGAGUAAGUGACUUCGAAGCAAUUACAGGAAAAAGGAGCUUGGUAAACUUGCCUUGCAAACAAGCAUUACAAGUAUGAGAUUGAGAGUUACAAGGAAAAGAUAUACAAGACUUAUUAAGUGCUGCAGUGACAGUGGAAUGUGUAGGAUGGCCUAAUUGACAAUGCCACAAUGUAGAAGAAAUCUUUUGACCCACAAAUGCAACUGGAUUAAAAACAGGAGAAAUAGACCUCUGUGGUUUGAUUAUGGGAAGUGGAUAGACAACAUUAUUACUCAGCCCUUGGAAUAGCACUCUCCCGGUGACCUUGUCCUGUAGACAGAGAGAAACAUCAUCCAUGAUACAACGACACUGAUUAUCUUUGCACAACUGAUUCAUAGAUAAUAAGUGUUGUGACAGUUUUGGAACAUGUAACACAGAGUUUAACUUGAAAUUAUGUGACUAAGUGAGAAGAGAAGAGGAACCAAUAUGUUUGACAGCUAAACCUUCACCACUAGCACUGGUCACAAUAUCAUUUGAUGGAUAAAUUUAUUGUCAUGUGCAAGUUUGACAAAUCUGAGGUCAUAUGGUUAGUUGCUCCCAAGUCAAGAAACCAGAAAUCUUGUUGAAGAGUUGAGGAUGAUGCACCAGCUCGUGCUUGCAUAGCAAGAGGAGGAUUUUGUGAGGAUAUAGUUAAUAGAUACAUAUGUGGUAUGACAAGAUACUGAAACUGUGAGCUAUUAGACUGUGGAAUCAUGCCUUGUGAAGGACCACAUGGAUUCUAGCUAGGUGCUUCACCAUAUGACCCAGUAGGCAUUGGAGUUGGCAUAGAUGAGGAUAAACCCUAAGAGAAAUGCUCUGAUGUGCCUGUGAAAUUUUUAUUCUGAUCAAAGCAAGUAGCAGCAACAUGACAACCUCUGUGACAAAUUUGACAUCCAUGUUGAAAACAAUUCAAUGCAGAAUGACCUUUGCGAUCACAUAUUUGCAGAAUGGCCUUUGCAACCCUAGAAAGAAGGAGCGAAGAAGACCAAAUGUGUACGUUUCUCUUUGGUUUUUUUUCCCUCCUAAUCGCGCUGUUCGAAAUCACGGACCUCGGGCCUGGGCCUAGUGGGCCCAAUUAUGAGGCCCAUUAUCUCCGGUCUUCUCGUUCUACUUCUAGUUACCCAAAUUAAGAACGUACGCUUUUAGCGCGAGAGAGAAAUGGAGGCCCUGAUUGCCUCGUACGGAGACUCGUCGUCGGGCUCAGACUCCGAGUCGCCGGCUCCACCUCCACCACCACCUCCGGAGCUCAACAACCCUCAAGAACCGACCCCUGCGCUGCCUCCACCUCCUCUGUCACUUCUCGACAGCCCCAAUUCCUUCGGUAACCUCUGAUUCCCAUCAAUUUUCAUCUUUUAGCUUUCUGUUGUGAUGGCUUUUUCCGAGUUGCCCACCAAGUGUUUGAUGUUUUGCCUCCGAAGAAUUUCUGGACUUAUCGGCAAGCGCCCAGCCGAGCAGAGUUCGGAACUUUCCUCACGUCGAAGGGAACUACGCAGUACAUGUAUACAUCCCAGGUUAUCAAAAUUCUCGAAAUUUUCAGCUCCAUUAGCAAAUGCGAUCGCUUUGCACUUAGUUUUUGCUUGUUUAAUUGUGUGGUUCCAGUUUAUAUACCACCAGCACCAAGGAAAGAGAUGGCCUUGUUUUUGAACAAGCUAGCUUCUCUGCUGCCUGGUCUCCAUGCGGUUGACGUUGACUUCCCGCUUGACAUUCUGCGUAAGGACGAGCACAAGCUUGAACAAGUUGCUUUAGGCAGAGAGUUCCAUAUAAGUCUCGGAAGAACUGUUCCGAUGCGGGUGCACCAGAUUGAUUCCUUGGUGACAAUGCUGCGGCAGAAGCUUCAGAUUCAGAGGCGGUAUGGUUACAUUUACAUUCUCUUGUCUGCAUUGCGUGAAUUUAGUUCUGUUAUUUAACAUAAUUCUGUAAGCCUGUUUUCGUAUAAAUGCACGGUUGAAUCAGCUUUCAUUGUCUACAAGUCUGAAAUAUUUUAACUUCCAUUGAUUUCAGAUAACAAAGCAGAUUCAAGCUGUGAAUGAGGUGUAUAAGCUUCACAAUCUUCCUGAAUUUUACAAGGUUAGCUUUUUCGUGCUUUUCAAACUCGAAUCGGUUCCUGAAUGUAUGACAAUAUAUUGGAUCAAACGAUUUCUCAAAACACUAAUUCACUUGAUGGGGUCUUGGUGAUCACAGGAUCCACGCCCUCACAUCUCGGUAGCUUGAGCAUUGGGUGACAUCAGCAAUUCCCUGAACAAAGUGGUUGAAGAAGAAAGACGAAGAUCUACCAUCGGAGGAUCGUUACAGAAAUGUAUUUUUACCAGUAAAUUCAAUGGUAUCGAUAUCGAAUGUAGGAUUGGUAAUAAAACACACAAAAUAUGUAAAUUUUCUGAAGAAUAAUGUAGCCAUUUAACUGUAUUGUGAAAUUCCGAGAAUAUAUGGCUGAGCAUUGGAUGAGAAGACAUUUCUUCGUUGGUGUCGAACUUCUUGUCGAAGGUAUUGGCACCAGUGUAAACGUCAUCAUCCAUGUUGAUGGUAAUUACUUACCAGCUACUAAGGGUGUCGGAACAACCUUGCACGCACCCUCCUGUGCAUUACUUGGUAUUGUCUCGGAUUCUCCAAACUUGAAUGCUAAUGUAAACCCACUCUUGACCUUUCCGUCAUCUGCAAUUACCGGAAAGCCGGCUUGGAUGUUGCCGUUGACCUACCAAACUUAAAAUACCGACGAAAUGUUGGAGUACUUCAGUGUACUACUCGUUUUUGUAUGCGAGAGCUCCACCUCUAUCGUUGUAACAGCAUCUGAUGCGGACUAGUCCUUCAUUCCCGUUACUCUUUGCCAUCUCCACUUCAAACUUGGUGUGAUGGCUCCCGGCCUCCUCUCCGGUGAAAUUGAGUAACCCCGGAGCUGGCGUGCCAUCAAGAUUUCCGUUGUGUCUCUAUUUGCUGUUGUGGUUCGGUUCCACUAUAAACUUGGCAGAGUUAGCAUUUUCAUUCUGUUGUCUGUAUAUCUUGAUAUUACAAGUAUUUGUUGUGCAAAAUGCAUGCUAAGUUCAAGUUAUGUUUAUAUGUGUGUGUGUGUUGCCACUUUUCCAACGUUUUCUCCAAAAUUGUGACGAGCAACAAAGCAGUUUUGAUUCCGUGCACAACAACGAUACCUCGAAAGAAAUUGAUUCUUCCCCAGAAAGAUGUUUUAAAACAAAGUUGAACAAGGGAAGAAAACUUUUGAAUCGCAAUCAGAUGUCUGGUCAAAUUCUUUAACAGUUGAUGUAUACAGAAGUUCCUUGCUUAUGACACGACUUAUGAGAGGAUGUAUGUAUUGCAUUUGCAUCAAAAGAAAGAAAGAAGGUUGUAAGUGGUAAGGGAACGACUACCGAUGCCGCUCCACUUCUAAUCAAAGGGAUCGAUCCGAGGGUCGUGUUCACUUGCCAUCGCCAUUCCAGUGCAAAGGCAUGUCGGGCACAUUACCUGCCACAUUUACAGACGCAAUGUUAGAUAUAGCUGCCAUUUGGAAGUCAUCUCUCAAAAUUUUGCUACUAAAUUAAUCUUAAACUUCAUUUCCAGUGCAAUUUUUUUCUUCUGAAUUGUCUUUCACAUGCCCGACAAAUAGAAGUAUCACCAAACAUGUGAUAUAGAGCAUCUAAGCGGCAGGCACUAAAAGGAAUUUAGUAUGCAAUAAACAUUCAACGGACAUAAUUAUAUGUCUAACCUUUCCCGCUCCUGAGCAAUUUGAACAUCGUUCAGUUUUUGGCAGAGAUAGGGGUUGGUUUCCGCCAUCAGCUGUCGAUACUGGUUCAGUAAGAACAAGGGUUCCAGUGCUGGAGCAACGAGCACAAGCAAGAGAUCCUGCGUAAGUAUCAAAUACACAGGUAAGUUGACAUACGAAACCAAUCCGAACAUCUCCAUCGUAUAUAUUUAAAGCUACAGUACAUAAAACUAAAAGUCAGAAAUAUAGGACAUUAUCACACCAGUUCCAAGACAAUAUUUGCAUCGUUUAUGCUCCUGCUGUUUCACAUUGUUUAUUUCAACUACCAUCAAUGCUGAGAUCACUCCGACUGCUCCUCCAGAGAAUGACGCCACUAUGGGAUCAACUUGACUGCAGUUUGAAAGUAAAGGAGAUCAAUAAACGAAACUGGUAACAACAUAGUAUCAACAUUAUUUAGCUUCGUUUCAAGAAAGAUGACAUCCUAGGUUUUUCUAAUGUGUAAAAAUUGAGGAUCCUCGUAAAAUUUGACUAUAUCGGUUCCCAAAGCAUUUGAUUCCUACGUUACAGACGGAAAACAGCAACAAUCGAAUUUAAAGAUUCAUAACACGAUAGAUGGUACAAAAUUUCAAAACGAUAAUUACUAGAGAACAGGAGGGUUAAUAGCCUGAGAUAUGAGCAAUACCUCAACUGCAACGGCAGAUGCAUAUUUACUAUAAAGUCUUUAUAUGAUGUGCCUCCUAUUCCCAGCUUCAACUCCAACUGAAAGAUGUAAAGGUAAUUGUAGGCAAAGAGUUACAAACAUAACCGAAUCCAUGUUUUAUAAGCAACAACUACACUUAUUUUGAUAUGUUUCCUCAUUUUUUACUUGCAAAUUCCAAACCAUAUUGUCGGACCAGUAAAAGAAAAUAAUGUUUAUGAUAACUGUUAAAACUAAUUACAACAAGUUAAUGCAUAAAGAACUUACGGAGGGUGCUAUGAGGCCACCGAAAAGGAUAAACCCCGCAAUAAUUGAAUAACAAACAGCAUAAUACUGCUUAAGGUUGUCUGAACUCUGCAAGCAAUGAAUUCACCUUGUGAUUAAUACUUUGCACAAACACUAGUUUUCGCAAUUUUUUAUGAAUCGACAAAAGGCUACAACAAAAUAUGGCUAAAACAUGUCGGGGAUAUGAAAAUACAUGUCUUCACAGGGGCACCAGCUUACCAGGGGAGGCAAAAAUGGAAUGAACGAUGGAAAACUAGGAAGUUCGUUUUCUUGAUCUUCAUUUACCGCUCCAAGCUCUGCACGUUUAAUCCGCUGUUGUAUCCUCAGCCUGCGAACCUACGCAUAUCGAAGCUCAUUCUUAAAGAACACAUUUCUAAUGGCAAUUGGAGAGUAAUUUAAAACAUGCUACACUGAGAAAGUGGUAGCAACUAGCAAUUGCUCUCACCUCCUCCAUAUGCAAGAAAAUUUUGUUGCGACGACUCCGAAUAUUAUCUUGAAUUUCCUGCAGCUCCAUUGUGGCAAAAUCCUGCACUGUUUCAGGCCCCUCUAUGAUACAAAAUCUGCACCAUUAAGCAUGUAAAAAUUAAAAAUUACAAGCUACAAAGCAAUUUCCGUAUAGUUGUUGGGUUAAAUAACAUCAACAGCAAAUAAAUCACAUAGGUUUUUCACAUAAAGUUACAAACUUUCAAGGACUAAUAAGCUGUCUGCAAUCUCAUAAAUUUCACAGUGCAAAGUAACAAUCCAAAGCUUGGAACUUUAAAUUUCCACCUUCUGUUAAUUUUUUAGUGCACCUGGUGUCGUUAGAUUCGAGUAGUAUGUCACAUUAAAUUUUUUUUUUCUGUGCAUGCAUUUUUUUUUAAAAGAAAAUUUAUAUUGUUAAAGAGCGAGUUCGAAACUAUUACAUUAUGGAAGGACAUAGUACCGAAACUCCGACGAUCAAAAACAAAAUCAUGUACAACCACUCCAAGCAGUCAACAUGGCCAUCACAUAUUGAAUCCAAAAUGUUGACGCCCCAUUCGCUGCAUAUAAUGUACAGACGAGCGGCAGCUUCAACCAGUUCUGCCAUAUCCGGCUGGAUGAGAGCAGCUAAAGACAUGAUUGUUCCCUAAUAACAUGAAUAAAUUGAGUAAACACCAAAAGUAGCAGCAAGGGAAGGAGAUGUGAAGUAUAUGAAGAGGUGUAAGACCUGUGAAUGUCCAGCAACAAAGAUUUUGGAGCUUGUUGUCGAAUAAUGCAACGCGUCAUUUCUGGUAGAUCAAAUAGAGCCAAUUCCCGCCAACUCCAAUUCCAAAAUUUCUACAGUAAAGCAUAAAUCUUAUUCUCUCUUCUGAUAAAGAUGAGUGUCCCAGACUCCAACGUGUUCCACACACAUUCCCUACCCAUACAUCGAAACCUUCAUCUGCAAGGACGAAUCCCAGCGAUUCUUCUGGAGAAUUUAAGAAUCAUGCAUCACCUGGUUAAGAUCAAGAAAAGCCAGUAACCAAGUUCAAUUGAGUUAAAAUGUAUCCCAUGGAUGUUCAUCACUUUGCCCAAUUGUUCUUUUCAAGAAAGGAAAUUUCAACAGAACCUGAAAACUUCAGAUCAGGGGGCACCAAAUAGUGAGCUAUACAUUCAAAAUUUGAAAUAAUCAACUUAGUAGGACCAGUAUGUUGAAAAAAUAGGAAGGAGCUAUGAAAGUAAGACUUUUCACUAAUCAGGCGUCCAGAGAAUCCAUAUUUUACCCGCGUAUCAGUUACGGGGAACACUCCCCACCAGAGCAAUCUCAUUAGUCCUUCACAUCUCAACCGUACAGAAGUUGCACUAACAAACAUGACUCCUAUUAGUCCUUCACAUCUCAAAUCCAGGAAGUACCCAUCUUUCGUCUGAAUCUGGAAAAUAAGCAGCAGUCAAUUUAACAAUCUCGGUAUCUCAAAGUUACUCACUUUAAUCACAAAUUUAGCAAUUAAACAUAUAAAUGGGCAUUUUUUUAGGGAAAUAUUAGUAUAGUACUCACUGUGUGCUCGGAGCAAGAGUACCCAGAAAGCUCAAUGAGCUGCGCACAGAGGACUGCAGUGGUGAACGACAGCGACCGCACAGAGGACUGCAGUGGUGAACGACAGUGACCAAUUCUGUAAAAUUUAGUCGAGUUUUGGGAAAUUUCUGCAGCGAUUUCGGAGGUCAAGAGGCUGAUAAGGAAAGCCGCGACCAAAGGGCACUGGUCUGGAAGAAAGGCUUUGGUCGCCGCUAUCGCAAUUCACGAAGGAAGAAGUGCCCCAAAACAAUUUCGGCCCUGGACAGGUGCACUGUUUGCACUGAGCCAGGGCCGGCCCUGAAUCGCGAUAACGUCCUUCUCCAAACAGUAUAUAUACAGAUGCUAGAAAAAUCUACCGGAACUAUUCAAUUCUAGCGUCUACAGCUUUAGCAUUAGUUGGUACAAGGGGCAUUCUUCCAAAGAGGGAGAUGAAAUCGUUGAGGCACCAAAUAGUGAGCUAUACAUUCAAAAUUUGAAAUAACCUCUUGGUAGGACCAAUAUGUUGAAAAAAUUGGAAGGAGCUAUGAAAGUAUGGCUUUUCACUAAUCAGGCGUCCACAGAAUCAAUAUUUUACUCACAGAUCAUUUACGGGGAACACUCCCCACCAUAACAAUCUUUUUAGUCCUUCACAUCUCAAACCAAGUAGAAAUUGCAGUAACAAACACGACUUCUAUUAGUCCUUCACAUCUCAAACCCAGUAAGUACCCAUCUUUCGUCUGAAUCUGGAAAACAAGCAGCAGUGGAUUCAACAAUCUGGGUAUCUCAAAGUCACUCACUUUAAUCACAAAAUUAACAAUUAAACAUAUAAAUGGGCAUUUAUUUAGUGAAAUAUUAGUAUAGUACUCACUGUGUGCUCGGAGCAAGAGUACCCAGAAAGCUCAAUGAGCUGCGCACAGAGGGACUGCAGCGGUGACGACGGCAACCGAUUCUGUAAAAUUCAGUCGAGUUUUGGGCGAUUUCUGCAGCGAUUUCGGAGGUCAAGAGGCUGAUAAGGAAAGCUGGGACGGAAGGGCACUGGUCUGGAAGAAAGGCUCAGGACACCGCUGUCCCGAUUCGUGAAGGAAGAAGUGCCCCCAAAACAAUUUCGGCUCUGGACAGGUGUACUGUUUGCACUGGACCAGGGUCGGCCCUGGCGAUAACGUCCCCCAAACAGCACAUAUACAGAUGCUAGAAAUAUAUAAAUGUAACCUGAAACUACUAGAACCAUUCAAUUCUAGCGUCUACAGCUUUAGCAUUAGUUGGUACAAGGGACAUUCUUCCAAAGAGGGAGAUGAACUCAUUGAGGCUCUUAUUUAUUCCUCCUCUUGAUGUGCCCUUUUAGGCUGCUAAUUCCACACGAUCCAAUCUCAUACAUCUUCCCUGCAAAAGCAUGUGUGCCUGACUUCAAGAUCAAAUUUUUCCAACAAAAGAAACUUAAAGAUCAAACUCGCUAGAGGAAUAAGUGGUGCACAAGGGUGUUAAAAUCUUGACAUAUGUAUAUUUUUGGCAGAUUUUAUGUGAGCAUGCAACUAAAACUGGCAUCACUAUCAAUGGUGCACAAAGAUUGGUGGAAAACUUUAACAGUUUGAGUUGUAACUUCUCCAUUGUAUUUGUUAAGGCAAGACGGAUGUCAUCUAUUCAUUUUUCUGUAAAACUUAAAAGGCUGCAUAGCAGCUCUUGUUCGUUGUAUUGAAUACCGUGGUUUUACUGAUGAAUGCAGAGUUUGCUGAUGAUUCAUACGACAAGCAAUUGAAAAUCCCAUCAUUAUGCCCCCCAUAUACCAGAAGAAAAAAAAGUCAUUUACACAAAUUCAGAGCGUUCAUCCACUGUAAUUUGCAGAUAUAGAAACGUUAAGAUAAAAGGAAAUGCAAAGUACCUUUCACCAAAUUGGAGGAGCACCGGUGGCAUUAGCAAGUUAGCAACGGGAAUUGACAUACCAAUAUCUUCACAGUUUCUGCACAAGCACAAAUCAAAAGAAUCCGGAGGUGGAGUUAUGUACCUCUCCUUGGAAAAUGCCACCUCUUGGGAUUUCAAAAUAUGCGGCCGUGGCUAGCCGUCUGACCACGCCAAUUCCACCAAAGCCGCCGCAACGCGGUGUAGUGUCCGAUUGAUUGCUUCAAAUCAGAGCUUCGUAUCCAUGUGUUUAUCAGCAGAGAGUACCCAAAACCCCUGAAAAUUAUUUCUUUAUUCAGAUAAUAAAAUAUCCCAAAUUUCGAAUUUUAAUUCCGAAUCAAAAAUAGGGUUUGAAUUUUGAUUACCUAUAAAUUGGGGGGUUGCGGUGGAAAGGGAGUCAGCCAAGACGGCGAUAUGCGUCCUCGAGAGGGCUAUGAAAAUACAAAUUACAGAGCGUGUUGGGACGAUGUACAAGGCUUUUGCAGUCUCUCAAAUAUAAAUACCGAAGCUCCGUAAGGCGUUCAAUCCAGGGGGAAAGCUCUUUAAUAGAUGUUCCAUCCAGGAAAAGACUUCUUAAUCCUUCCAUAUUUUCUUCAAUGCUUGGAAACAACUCAAAUUUUGUACAACCGGAAAGAGAGAGAGAGAAAAGGGACUUGAGCUGACAAAUGCUGCUUGGAAGACUCUUAAGUUCUUUGCAAUCUUUUAGAUUCAAAUGAUUCAAUCCCGUAAGAUUAUUAAUUGACGAGGGCAGUUCUUUAAUUUUUGACCCGGAUAAAUUAAGCUCUUCUAACUCCUCCAUACCUUCUGAAAUCUUUGGAAACAUCUCAAGACUAGAGCAGCCAGAAAGAUUAAAGGUUUUGAGAGAUUUCAUACGAAUGCUGCUUGGAAGACUCUUAAGUUCCGUGCAAUUAUGUAGAUUCAAAUGACACAACCUCGUAAGAUUAUUAAUUGACGAGGACAGUUCUUUAAUUUUUGAGCAGGGUAAAUCAAGCUUUUCUAACCCCUCAAUACCUUCUGAAAUCGAUGGAAACAUCUCAAGACUGAAGCAGCCAUAAAGAUUAAAGGUUUUCAGACAUUUCAUAUGAAUGCAGCUUGGAAGACUCUUAAGUUCCUUGCAAUCUUUUAGGUUGAAAUGACUCAACCCCGUGAGAUUAUUAAUUGACAGGGACAGUUCUUUAAUUUUUGACCCGGAUAAAUUAAGCUCUUCUAACUCCUCCAUACCUUCUGAAAUCUCUGGAAACAUCUCAAGACUGGUGCAGUCAGAAAGAUUAAAGGUUUUGAGAGAUCUCAUACGAAUUUUGCUAGGUAGAAUCUUAAGUUCCUUGCAAUCUUUUAGGUUGAAAUGACUCAACCCCGAGAGAUUAUUAAUUGACAGGGGCAGUUCUUUAAUUUUUGACCCAGAUAAAUUAAGCUCUUCUAACCCCUCCAUACCUUCUGAAAUCUCUGGAAACAUCUCAAGACUGGAGCAGUCACAAAGAUUAAAGGUUUUGAGAGAUCUCAUACAAAUUUUGCUAGGUAGAAUCUUAAGUUCCUUGCAAUCUUUUAGGUUGAAAUGACUCAACCCCGAGAGAUUAUUAAUUGACAGGGGCAAUUCUUUAAUUUUUGACCCGGAUAAAUUAAGCUCUUCUAACUCCUCCAUACCUUCUGAAAUCUCUGGAAACAUCUCAAGACUGGAGCAGUCAGAAAGAUUCAAGGUUUUGAGAGAUCUCAUACAAAUUUUGCUAGGUAGAAUCUUAAGUUCAUUGCACCCAUGCAGAUCCAAUAAAACAAGGUUUGUAAGAGUCGAAAUAGACGGGUGAACCUCAACUAAGCUUAUACAACUUCGAACAAUUAGCCUCUCAAGAUUUGGCACAUUUGUGAAGUCAGGGGUUUCCUUAAGGGAUUGACAAUAACUUAAAUUGAUGAAUUUCAACUUUUC